rnacentral:lncRNA from 1 species
ACUUUUUUCAAAUGGUCACAAAAUCUUCUCCACUUUGAGUUUUUAGCUGAAUUUUUUUGUGCAUGCCAAAAAAAAUACAAGGAUCACCUCUACCAAAUUUGGGGACAAACUCUUUCUAAAAAAAUUUUAAAAAAUCUUGAAUCGUAAAAAGUUUCAAAAAUCGUUAAAAAUAGAAAACGGGUCGUCUUGCCACGAACUUCACAUGAAGGCUUAGGGGACCGUUGUAUGAAUUUACAAGCCAUAAAAUUGGCAUUAGCAUGGUAGAAAUAUGAAGAUGUGCUUGAACCCACCUACCGCCCGUUCGAUCCCCGGCUUGCGCAUCCUGCCUCUCUGGUCGGCUGAGCGUCCACAUGCUCGUUUUAUGGGUUGACUUAGGCAUACAAAGUUCAUCCUCAGUCUAAGCAUACGGAGUUCAUUCCCAGUCUAAGAUCAGACCAGACCGAGGGUUGCGACAGUAAGAUCAGCAGCACGCCGGGGGGACUGGGUCAAUCCCCGGCUUACGCAUUCUGUCUCUUCGACCGGCUGAGUGCCCGUACGCCAGUUUCGUGGGUUGGCUUAGGCAUAGGGAGUUCAUUCCACAUCUAAGCCCCUACGGGAUCGAGGGUUGUGGCAGCGAGACUGACAGCACACAGAGGGGGAUCGGGUCGAUCCCAGGCAUGCGCAUUCUACUCUCCGACCGUCUCAGUGCCUGCACGCUCAUUUCAUGGGUUGACUUAGUCAUACGGAGUUCAUUCCAGUCUAUGAUCAGAUCAGAUUGAGGGUUGCAGUAGUAGGAUCAAAAGCACGCAGGUGGGGAUCGGGUCGAUCCCCGGCUUGCACAUUCUGCCUCUCCGAUCGGCUGAGCGAUCGCACGCUCAUUUCAUGGGUUGAUAGGCAUACGGAGUUCAAUUUCAUGUCUAGCAUAGGGGAGUUCAUUCGCCGUCUAAGAUUGGGACUAGAUCGAGGGUUUACGGCGUAGGAUCGAUCAGCGAUGCAGGAAGGGACCAGGUCCGAUCCCGGCUUGCAGCAUUCUGCCUCUUCGAUCGGCUGAGCACCUGCCACGCUCAUUCACGGGUAGGUUUUAGGGCAUUACAGAGUUCAUUCGCUGUCUAAGCCUACGAGUUCAUCCAGUCUAAGAUCGACAAGAAUUCUGCAAGAUCGUGCACUAGGGUUAUCCUCGUUUGAUUCUUCUCCGGUUAGUGAGUAGUUUCAGAUGAUUAGGAACGGAGUUCAUCGGUCUAAGUCAGCAACAUGACACGAAGGGUUGUGGUAGCACGCAAGGGGGGAUCGGGCGAUCCUCAGCUUACGCAUUCUGCCUCUCCGACCGGCUGAGCAUCCGCACGCCCAUUUCGUGGGUUGGCUUAGGCAUAGGGAGUUCAUUACACGUCUAAGCCUCAGCCAGACCGAGGGUUGUGGCAACGGGAUCGGCAGCAUGCAGAGGAGGACCGAGUUGAUCCCCGACUUACGCAUUCUGCCUCUUCGACCGGCCUCUCUAGCCGACUGAUCACCCACGUGCUCAUUUCGUAGGUUGACUUAGGCAUACGGAGUUCAUCCCCAGUCUAAGCAUACGGAGUUCAUUCCAUUCUAAGAUUGGAUCAGAUCGAGGGUUGCAACAGUAAGAUCGACAACACGUAAGGGGGACCGAGCCGAUCCCCGGCUUGUGCAUUCUACCUCUUCGACCGGCUGAGCGCCCGUACGUCUAUUUCGUGGGUUGGCUUAGGCAUAAAGAGUUCAUUCCAUGUCUAAGCCCCAGUCGGACCGAGGGUUGUGGCAGCGGGACCGGUAGUACAUAGAAGGGGAUCGGGCUAAUCCCCGUCUUACACAUUCUGCCUUUUAGGCCGACUGAGCGCCUCACGCUUGUUUCAUGGGUUGGCUUAGGCAUACGGAGUUCAUUCCAUGUCUAAGCAUACGGAGUUCAUUCCCAGUCUAAGAUCAGACUUGACCGAGGGUUACGACAGUAGGAUCAGCAGCAUGCCGGGUGGAUCGGGUCGAUCCUCGGCUUGUGCAUUCUACUCUCUGGCCGGUUGAGCGCCCACCAACGCCCAUUUCGUGGGUUGGCUUUAGGCAUAGGGAUUUCAUUCCAUGUCUAAGCCCCAGUCGGACCGAGGGUUAUGGUAGCAGGACCAGCAGCACGCAGAGGGGGAUCGGGUCGAUCCCUGGCUUGUGCAUUAUGCCUUUUCGAUCGGCUUAGCGCUUGCACGCUCGUUUCGUGGGUUGACUUAGGCAGACGGAGUUCAUUCCCAGUCUAAGAUUGGACCGGACUGAGGGUUGCGGCAGCAGGAUCGAUAGCACAUAAGCGGGGAUCGGGUCGGUCCCUGGCUUGCACAUUCUGCCUCUCUGACUAGCUGAGCACCCGUAUGCUUGUUUCGUGGGUUGGCUUAGGCAUACGUAGUUCAUUCCCAGUCUAAGAUCGGAUCGGAUCGAGGGUUGCGGUAGCAGGACCAACAGCAGGAUUGGCAGCACGUAGGGGGGACCGAGCCGAUCCUCGACUUGCGCAUUCUGCCUCCCCGGCCGGUUGAGCACCCGCUUGCUCGUUUCAUCGGUUAGCUUAGGCAUACGGAGUUCCUUCCAUGUCUAAGCCCUAGCCGGACCGAGGGUUGUGGUAGUAGGAUCGACAGCGGGAUCGGCUGCAUGCAGAGGGGGAUCGAGCUAAUCCCUGGCUUAAGCAUUAUGCCUCUCUGGUCGGUUGAGUGCCCGCACGCUUGUUUCAUGGGUUGACUUAGGCAUACGGAGUUCAUCCCAGUCUAAGCAUACGGAGUUUAUUUUCAGUCUAAGAUCGGACCGAACUGAGGGUUGCGGUAGUAGGAUCGGCUUAGGGAGUUCAUUCUCGAUCUAGGAUCAGACUGGACCGAGGGUUGCGAUAGCAGGAUCGACAAAAUGCAAGAGGGCACCGGGUCGAUCCCCGACUUACGCAUUUUGCCUCUCCGAUCGGUUGAGUGCCCGUAUGCUCGUUUCAUGGGUUGGCUUAGGCAUACGGAGUUCAUUCCAUGUCUAAGCAUACGGAGUUCAUUCCCAGUCUAAGAUCGGAUCGGACCGAGGGUUAUGACAGCAGGAUCGACAGCACGCAGGGGUGGACCUAACCAGUCCUCGGCUUACAAAUUCUGCCUCUUCGAUCGGCUGAGCGCCCGCACGCUUGUUUUGUGGGUUGGCUUAGGCAUACAGAGUUCAUUCCAUGUCUAAGCAUACGGAGUUCAUUCCCAGUCUAAGAUUGGAUCGGACCAAGGGUUAUGGCAACAGGACUAGCAGCUAGACCGACAGGAUGCAGGGGGAGACCGGGUCUAUCCCCGGCUUACGCAUUAUACCUCUCCAGCUAGCUGAGCAUCUGUACGCUCGUUUCAUGGGUUGGCUUAGGCAUACGGAGUUCAUUUCAAGUCUAAGCCCCAAUCGAACCGAGGAUGGUGGCAGCAGGACCGACAGCAGGAUCGACAGCACGUAAAGGGGGACCGGCUGAUCCCCAACUUGCGCAUUAUGCCUUUUCGAUCAGCCUCUCCAGCCGACUGAGUACCCGCAUGCUCGUUUCAUGGGUUGACUUAGGCAUACAGAGUUCAUCCCCAGUCUAAGCAUACAGAGUUCAUUCCCAGUCUAAGAUCGAAUCAGACCGAGGGUUGUGGUAGUAGGAUCGUUAGCACACAGGGGAGACCGGGGCAAUCCUCGGCUAUGCAUUUUGCCUCUCCGAUCGACUAAGCGCCCACACGCCCGUUUCGUGGGUUGGCUUAGGCAUAGGGAGUUCAUUCCAUGUCUAAGCCCUAGCCAGACCGAGGGUUGUGGCAGCGAGACCGACAGCACGCAGAAGGGGACCGAGCUAAUCCCUGACUUGCGCAUUAUGCCUCUCCAGCUGGCUCAGCGCCUGAACGCUCAUUUCGUGGGUUGAAUUAGGCAUACGGAGUUCAUUCCCAUUCUAAGAUCAGAUCGGACCAAGGGUUGUGGCAGCAAGAUCGGAAGGACGCAGGGGGGACCAGGUCGAUCCUCGACUUGCACAUUCUACCUCUUCGUCGGCCUCUCCAGUUGGUUGAGCGCCCGCACGCUCAUUUCAUGGGUUGACUAAGUUAUACUGAGUUCAUCCUCAGUCUAAGCAUACAGAGUCCAUUCUCAGUCUAAGAUCGAACCAGACCGAAGGUUGCGGCAGCAGGAUCGACAGCACGCAGGGGGGAUUGGGUCGAUCCCCGACUUGCGCAUUCUGCCUUUUCGAUCGGCUGAGCGCCCGCAAGUCCGUUUCAUGGGUUGGCUUCGGCAUAGGGAGUUCAUUCCAUGUUUAAGCCCCAGCCGGACUGAAGGUUGUGGCAGCGGGAUCGGCAGCACAUAGAGGGGGACCGAGCCAAUCCACAGCUUGCGCAUUCAGCCUCUCCGGUCGGCUGAGUGCCCGCACGCUUGUUUCGUGGGUUGGCAUAGGCAUAUAGAGUUCAUUCCAUGUCUAGGCAUACGGAGUUCAUUCCCAGUUUAAGAGUUUGAGCCACAAUCCACAUGCUGAGCUCGGGCAGGUGCUGGUGCCACAUUUUUUUUGCCCGAGGCACCAUUGUCGGAGCAUCACCAGAGCAUCGCUGGAGAGCCUAACCGGCGACAUUGGAGGUUCCGACGAUUAGGGGGGUCGGGGGGUUGUUCGCGCGUGAUGUGCGAUGGGUGCUGGUACAUCACAUGAAGGCGUAGGGGACCAUUGUAUGAAUUUACAAGCCAUAAAAAUGGCAUUGGCAUGACAAAAAUAUGAAGAUGUGCUUGAACCCACCAACCACACUUUCGAUCCCCGGCUUGCGCAUCCUGCCUCUGUGGUAGGUUGAGCGUCCGCACGCUCGUUUUCUGGGUUGACUUAGGCAUACGAAGUUGAUCCCCAGUCUAAGCAUACGGAGUUCAUUCCCAGUCUAAGAUCGGAUCAGACCGAAGGUUGCGACAGCAGGAUCGACAGCACGCCGGGGGGAUCGGGUCGAUCCCCGGCUUGCGCAUUCUACCUCUUCGGUUGGUUGUGCGCCCACACGCCCGUUUCGUGGGUUGGCUUAGGCAUAGGGAGUUCAUUCCAUGUCUAAGCAUACGGAGUUCAUUCUCAGUCUAAGAUCACAUCAGAUCGAGGGUUGUGGUAGCAGGACCAGCAGCAGGAUCGGUAGCACGCAGGGGGGAUCGAGCCGAUCCCCAACUUGCGCAUUCUACCUCUCCGGUCGACUGAGCGCCCGUACGCUCGUUUCGUGGGUUGGCUUAGGCAUACGGAGUUCAUUCCAUGUCUAGGCAUACAGAGUUCAUUUCCAGUUGAAGAUUGCACCGGAUCGAGGGUUGCGGUAGCAGGACCAGCAGCAGGAUCGGUAGCACAUAGGGGGGAUCGGGUCGAUCCUUGACUUGCGCAUUCUGCCACUCCGGUCGGUUGAGUGCCCGCACGCUCGUUUCAUGGGUUGGCUUAGGUAUACAGAGUUCAUUCCAUGUCUAAGCCCUAGCCGGACCGAGGGUUGUGGCAGCAGGACCGACAGUAGGAUUGGCAGCACGCAGAGGGGGACCGGGCUAUUCCCCGAUUUGCGCAUUAUGCCUUUCUGGCCGGUUGAGUGCCUGUGCGCUUGUUUCAUGGGUUGACUUAGGCAUACGGAGUUCAUCCCCAGUCUAAGCAUACGGAGUUCAUUCCCAGUCUAAGAUCGGAUCGAACCGAGGGUUGUUACAGUAGGAUCGACAACACGCUGGGGGGGCCGGGCUGAUCCCCGGCUUGUGUAUUUUGCCUUUCCGAUCGGCUGAGCACCCACACGCCCGUUUCGUGGGUUGGCUUAGGCGUAGGGUGUUCAUUCCAUGUCUAAGCCCUAGCCAGAUCGAGAGUUGUGGCAGCGGGACUGGCAGCACGCAGAGGGGGAUCGAGCCGAUCUUCGGCUUACGUAUUAUGCCUCUCCGGUCGGCUCAGUGCCCGCACGCUCGUUUCUUGGGUUGACUUAGGCAUACGAAGUUCAUUCUCGGUCUAAGAUCAGACCGGAUCGAGGGUUGCGGUAGCAAGAUUGACAGUACACAGAGGGACCGAGCCGAUCCCCGACUUACUCAUUCUGCCUCUCCGACCGGCUGAGCGCCCGCACGCUCGUUUUGUGGGUUGGCUUAGGCAUACAGAGUUCAUUCCAUGUCUAAGCAUAUGGAGUUCAUUCCCAAUCUAAGAUUGGACCGGAUCGAGGGUUACGGCAGUAGGAUAGAUAGCACGCAGGGAUGGACCUGACUGGUCCCCGACUUACGGAUUCUGCCUCUCCAACUGGCUGAGCGCCCGUACGCUUCUUUUGUAGGUUGGCUUUGGCAUACGGAGUUCAUUCCCAGUCUAAGAUUGGAUCGGACCAAGGGUUGCGGUAGCAGGACCAGCAGCAGGACCGACAGCAUACAAGGGGAGACCGGGUCAAUCCCCGGCUUACGUAUUCUGCCUCUCCGGCUGGCUGAGUGCCCGCACGCUCGUUUCAUGGGUUGGCUUAGGCAUACGGAGUUCAUUCCAUGUCUAAGCCCCAGCUGAACCAAGGGUGGUGGUAGCAGGACCGGCAGCGGGAUCGGCAGCACGUAGAAGGGGACCGGACUGAUCCCCGACUUGCACAUUAUACCUCUCCGAUCAGCCUCUCUAGCCGGUUAAGCACCCGCACGCUCGUUUCAUGGGUUGACUUAGGUAGAUUGACUUCAUCCCCAGUCUAAGCAUACGGAGUUCAUUCCCAGUCUAAGAUCGGAUCAGAUCGAGGGUUGCGACGUAGGAUCAUCAGCAUGCAAGAGGGACCGGGCCGAUCCCCGACUUACGCAUUCGCCUUUCUGGCCGACUGAGCACCCACACGCUUGUUUCAUGGGUUGGCUUAGGCAUAGGGAGUUCAUUCCAUGUCUAAGCCCCAGUCGGACCGAGGGCUGUGGUAACAAGACCGGUAGCACGCAGAAGGGGGCUAUGCUGAUCCUCGACUUACGCAUUAUGCCUCUCCGGCCGGCUCAAUGCCUGAACGCUCAUUUCGUUGGUUGAAUUAGGCAUACGGAGUUCAUUCCAUGUCUAGGCAUACAGAGUUCAUUUCCAGUCUAAGAUUGCACCGGAUCGAGGGUUGCGGUAGCAGGACCAGCAGCAGGAUCGGUAGCACAUAUGGGGAUCGGGUCAAUCCCCGACUUGCGCAUUCUGCCUCUUCGGUCGAUUGAGUGCCCGCACGCUCAUUUCGUGGGUAGGCUUAGGUAUACGGAGUUCAUUCCAUGUCUAAGCCCUAGCCGGACUGAGGGUUGUGGCAGCAGGACCGACAGCAGGAUCGACAGCACGCAGAGGGAACCGGGCUAAUCCCUGACUUGUGCAUUAUGCUUCUCAGGCCGGCUGAGCGCCUGCAGGCUCGUUUCGUGGGUUUACUUAUGCAUACAGAGUUCAUCCCCAGUCUAAGCAUACGGAGUUCAUUCCCAGUCUAAGAUCGAAUCGGACCGAGGGUUUGGGCAGCAGGAUCGACAGCACGCAGGGGGGAUCGAGUCAGUCCUCGACUUACGCAUUCUACCUCUCCGAUCGACUGAGCGCCCGUACACUCGUUUCAUGGGUAGGCUUAGGCAUACAGAGUUCAUUCCAUGUCUAAGCAUACGGAGUUCAUUCCCAAUCUAAGAUCAGACCAGACCGAGAGUAAUGGCAGUAUGACCAGCAACAGGAUCGACAACACGCAGGGAGGGAUCGGGCCGGUUGAGCACCCGCACUCCCGUUUAGUGGGUUGGCUUAGGCAUAGGGAGUUCAUUCCAUGUCUAAGCCCUAGCCGGACCGAGGGUUGUGGCAGCGAGAUCAGUAACACGUAGAGGGGGAUCGGGUAGAUUCUCGACUUGCGCAUUAUGUCUGUCUGACCAUCUCCGUGCCUGCACACUCAUUCCAUGGGUUGACUUAGGCAUACAGAGUUCAUUCCCAGUCUAAGAUCAGACCGGACCGAUGGUUGCGGCAACAGGAUCUACAGCAUGAAGGAGAGGAUCGGGUCAGUCCCCGACUUGCGCAUUCUGCCUCUCUAAUCGGCUGAGCACUCGCAUGCUCGUUUCGUGGGUUGGCUUAGGCAUACGGAGUUCAUUUCCAAUCUAAGAUUGGACCGAACCAAGGGUUACGGCAGCAGGACCAGCAACAGGAUCGGCAGCAUGCAGGGGGGAUCAGGCCGAUCCCUAACUUGCACAUUCUGCCUCUUCGAUCGGCUGAGCUCCCGCACGCUCGUUUCGUGGGUUGGCUUAGGCAUAUGGAGUUCAUUCCAUGUCUAGGCCCCAACCGAACUGAGGGUUGUGGCAGCAGGACCGGCAGCGGGAUCGACAGCACGCAGAGGGGGACCAGGCUGAUCCCCGACUCAUUUCGUGGGUUGACUUAGGCAUACGGAGUUCAUCCCCAGUCUAAGCAUACGGAGUUCAUCCCCAGUCUAAGCAUACGAAGUUCAUUCCUAGUCUAAGCUCAAAUCGGAUAGAGGGUUGCAGUAGCAAAUCCAGCAGCAGGAUUAGCAGCACACAGGGGGGAUUGGGUCGAUCCCCGGCUUGCUUAUUCUGCCUUUCGGUCGGUUGAGAGCCCGCACGCUCGGUUCGUGGGUUAGGUUAGGCAUACGGAGUUCAUUCCCAGUCUAAGAUUUUGAGCCACGGUGCACAUGCUGGGCUUAGGCAUGUGUUGGUUCCGCAUUUUUUUCGCCCAGGGCACCACCGUCGGAGCAUCGCCAGAGAGCCUAACCGACGGCAAUGGUGGUUUCGACGAUUGGGGGGCCGGGGGGUGCACGCACAUGAUGUGCGAUGGGUGCUGGUACUUGGCCCUUAUAUUGGCCCCCUAUCCCUCAUCAAACCUUGAGAACUCACACCCCCUUAAAGAGCAUUUGAGAUUUUAUAGGUUUGCUUCCAAUAGCCAUUAAAAUGUCUAAAAUGGGGACACUUUUUCCAAAUAGUCACAAAAUCUUCUCCUCUUCGAUCUUUGAGCUGAAUUUUUUUGUGCAUGCCGACAAAAAUACAAGGAUCACCUGUACCAAAAACUCUUUCUAAAAAAGUUUUAAAAAAUCCUGAAUCGUAAAAAGUUAAAAAUCAUGAAACAUAAAACGGGUUCCGUCUUGCCACGAGAACCUUCACAUGAGGCAUAGCGGGACCAUUGUAUGAUUUACAAGCCAUAAAAAUGGCAUUGGGCAAGAUCAGAAAUAUGAAGAUGUGCUUGAACCCACAUACCACCGACGUCGAGAGUCCGUUGGUAUCCUGCCUUCGUCGGCUGAGCACCACACGCUCGUUUUAUGGUUGACUUGGCUACAGAGUUUAUCCUCUGUCUAAGCAAAUGGAGUUCAUUCCCAGUUUAAAAUCAGAUCAGAUCGAGGGAUGCAACAGCAGCAUCGGCAGCACGCAGGGGGGACCGGGCCGAUCCUCAACUUGUGAAUUCUGCCUCUCCGGUCGGCUAAGUGCCUGAACGCCUGUAUCGUGAGUUGGCUUAGGCAUAGGGAGGUCAUUCCAUGUCUAAGACCCAGUCGGAGCUAGGGUUAUGGCAGCGGGACUGACAGCACGCAGAGAGGGACCAGGCUGAUCCCCUGCUUGCGCAUUGUGCCUCUCCAAUCGACUCAGUGCCCGCACACUCGUUUCGUGGGUUGACUUAGGCAUACGGAGUUCAUUCCCAGUCUAAGAUCGGAUCGGACCGAAGGUUACGACAGCAAGAUCGACAGUACGCAGGGGGGGAUCGGGCCGGUCCCCAGCUUGUGCAUUCUGCCUCUCUGACCAGCUGAGCGCCCGCACGCUCGUUUUAUGGGUUGGCUUAGGCAUACAGAGUUCAUUCCAUGUCUAAGCAUACGGAGUUCAUUCCCAGUCUAAGAUCGGACCAGAUCGAGGGUUGGGGUAGUAGGACUAGUAGCAAGAUCGACAGCAUACAGGGGGGAUGGGCUGAUCCCCGGCUUGCACAUUCUGCCUCUCCAACCGGCUGAGUGUCCGCAUGCUCGUUUCAUGGGUUGGCUUAGGCAUACGAAUUUCAUUCCAUGUCUAAGCCCCAGUCAGACCGAGGGUUGUGGCAGUUGGACCGACAGUGGAAUCAACAGCAUGUAGAGGGGGGCUGGGUUGAUCCCCAGCUUGUGCAUUAUGCCUCUUCGACCAGCCUCUCCAGCAGGCUGAUGCCCACACGCUCAUUUCUUGGGUUGACUUAGGCAUACGGAGUUCAUCCCCAGUCUAAGCAUACAAAGUUCAUUCCUAGUCUAAGAUCAAACCGGACCGAGGGUUGCGGUAACAGGAUCGAUAACACGCAGGGGGGAUCGAGCCGAUCCCCGGCUUGCACAUUCUGUCUAUCCGGCCGACUGAGUGCCCGCACGCCUAUUUUGUGGGUUGGCUUAGGCAUAGGGAGUUCAUUCUAUGUUUAAGCCCCAGUCGGACCGAGGGUUGGGGCAGUGGGAUCGACAGCACGCAGAAGGGGAUCGGGUCGAUCCCCAGCUUGCGUAUUAUGCCUCUCCAGCCGGUUUAGCACCCGAACGCUCGUUUCAUGGGUUGACUUAGGCAUACGGAGUUCAUUCCCAGUCUAAGAUCAGACCGGACCAAGGGUUGUGGUAGCAAGAUCAACAGCACGUAGGGGGGGAUCGGGCCGAUCCCCGGCUUGUGCUUUUACCUCUUCGAUCGACUGAGCGCCCGCACGCUCGUUUCAUGGGUUGGCUUAGGCAUACGAAGUUCAUUCCAUGUCUCAGCAUACGGAGUUCAUUCCCAGUCUAAGAUCAAAUCGGACCGAGGGUUACGGCAGUAAGAUCAGCAGCAUGUAGGGGGGACCGAGCCGAUCCCCAGCCUGCGCAUUCUACCUUUUCGGCCAGCUAAGCGCCCGCACGCUCGUUUCGUGGGUUGGCUUAGGCAUACGGAGUUCAUUCCAUGUCUAAGCCCCAGCAGGACCGAGGGGUGUGGCAGCAGGACCGACAGCUAGAUCGGUAGCACGUAGAGGGGGAUCGGGUUGAUCCCUGGCUUCCGUAUUAUGCCUCUCUGGCCGGCCUCUCCGGCAGGCUGAGCACCUGUAUGCUCCUUUCAAACGAUCACAAAAUCUUCUCCACUUCUAGUUUUUAGCUGAAUUGUUUUGUGCAUGCCAACAAAAAUACAAGGAUCACGAUAGUAGGAUCGACAACACGUAGGGGGACCGAGCAGAUCCUCGAUUUAUGCAUUUUGCCUUUUCGGCCGACUGAGUGCUCGCACGCUCGUUUUGUGGGUUGGCUUUGGCAUACGGAGUUCAUUCCAUGUCUAAGCAUACAGAGUUCAUUCCAUGUCUAAGAUCGGACCAGACUGAGGGUUGCGACAGUAGGACCAGCAGCAGGAUCAGUAGCACAGAAGGGGACCGGGCAGAUCCCCAGCUUACGCAUUCUACCUCUCCGGUCGGCUGAGCUCACGCACGCUCAUUUCGUGGGUUGACUUAGGCAUACAGAGUUCAUCCCCAGUCUAAGCAUACGGAGUUCAUAUCCAGUCUAAGAUCUAAUCAGACCGAGGGUUACGGCAGCAAGAUCGACAGCAUGCAAGGGGCCAGGCCGAUCCCCGGCUUGCGCAUUCUACCUCUCCGACCGACUGAGCGCCCACAUGCCUGUUUCAUGGGUUGGCUUAGGCAUAGGGAGUUCAUUCCAUGUCUAAGCCCUAGCCGGACCGAGGGUUGUGGCAACGGGACUGGUAGCACGCAGAGGGGGACCAACCCGAUCCCCAGCCUAUGCAUUCUACCUCUUCGAUCGGCUGAGCGCCCGCACGCUCGUUUCAUGGGUUGGCUUAGGCAUAUGGAGUUCAUUCCAUGUGUAAGCAUACAGAGUUCAUUCCCAAUCUACGAUCGGACUGGACCGAGGGUUACGAUGCAGGACCAACAGCAGGAUCGACAGCACACAGGGGGGACCGGGCCAUCCUCGGCUUGCACAUUUGCUUCUCCGGCCAGUUGAGCGCCCGCACGCUCGUUUCAUGGGUUAGCUUAGGCGUAGGGAGUUCAUUCCAUGUCUAAGCCCUAGUCGAACCGAGGGUUGUGGCAAUGGGACCGGCAGCACACAGAGGAGGACCGGGCCAAUCCCUAGCUUGCGCAUUCUGCCUCUCCGGUCGACUGAGCACUCGCACACCCGUUUCAUGGGUUGGCUUAGGCAUAGGGAGUUCAUUCCUUGUCUAAGCCCCAGUCGGACUGAUGGUUGUGGCAGCAGUACCAGUAGUAUGUAGGGGGGACCAGCCCGAUCCCUGGCUUACGCAUUCUACCUCUUCAACCGACCUCUCCAGUCGGCUGAGCACCCGUACGCUCGUUUCGUGGGUUGACUUAGGCAUACGGAGUUCAUCUCCAGUCUAAGCAUACGGAGUUCAUUCCCAGUCUAAGAUAGGAUCGGACCGAGGGUUGCUGCAACAGGAUCAGUAGCACGCAGGGGGGACUAGGCCGAUCCCCAGCUUGCGAAUUCUACCUCUUCGGUCGACUGAGCGCCCGCACGCCCGUUUCGUAGGUUGGCUUAGGCAUAGGGAGUUCAUUCAUGUCUAAGCCCCAACCAGAAUGAGGGUUGUGGCAACGGGAUCUGCAGCACGUAGAGGGGGACCGAGCCAAUCCCCGACUUGCACAUUCUGCCUCUCCUGUCGGCUGAGCACCCACACGCUCGUUUCGUGGGUUGGCUUAGGCAUACGGAAUUCAUUCCAUGUAUAAGCAUACGGAGUUCAUUCCCAUUCUAAGAGUUUGAGCCACGGUGCACAUGCUAGGCUCAGGCAUGUGCUGGUGCCACAUUUUUUUCCUGGGGCACCAUUGCCGGAGCAUCGUCGGAGAGCCUAACAGGAGGCAUUGGGGGUUCUGGAGAUUGAGGGGCUGGGGGGUGUGCGCACAGGAUGUGCAAUGGGUGCAGGUGCUUGGCCCUUAUAUUGGCCCCCUAUCCCUCAUCAAACCUUAAAAACUCACACUCCCUUAAAGAGCAUUUGAGAUUUUAUAGGUUUGCUGCUAGUAGCCAUUAAAGUGUCUGAAAUGGGGACAUUUUUUUCAAACGGUCGCCAAAAUCCUCUCCACUUCAAGUUUUUAGAUGAAUUUUUUUCUGCAUGCCAACAAAAAUACAAGGAUCACCUCUACCAAAUUUGGGAACAAAACUCUUUCUAAAAAUAUUUUAAAAAAUCUUAAACCAUAAAAAGUUUCAAAAAUCAUGAAAAAUAGAAAAUGGGUCGUCUUGCCACGAAACUUCACAUGAAAGCUUAGGGGACCAUUGUAUGAAUUUACAAGCCAUAAAAAUGGCAUUGGCAUGAUAGAAAUAUGAAGAUGUGCUUGAACCCAACUACGACCUGUUCGAUCGUCGGCUUGCGCAUCCUGCCUUUCUAGUUGGCUGAGCGUUCGCACGCUCGUUUCGUGGGUUGACUUAGGCAUACGGAGUUCAUCCCCACUCUAAGCAUACGGAGUUCAUUCCCAGUCUAAGAUCAGACCGGAUCGAGGGUUGCGGUAGUAGGAUCGACAGCACGCAGGGGGGACCCGAUUGAUCCCCGACCUGUGCAUUCUGUUUCUCCGACCGAUUGAGUGCCCGCACGUCCAUUUUAUGGGUUGGCUUAGGCAUAAGGAGUUCAUUUCAUGUCUAAGCCCCAGGCCGAUCGAGGGUUGUGGCAGUGGGACUAGCAGCACGCAGAGGGGGACCGAGCCGAUCCCCGACUUGUGCAUUAUGCCUCCCCGACUGGCUCAGCACCCGAACGCUUGUUUUAUGGGUUGACUUAGCCAUACAGAGUUCAUUCCCAGUCUAGGAUCGGACCGAACCGAGGGUUGCUGCAGCAGGAUCGAUGCCCAGCUUGUGCAUUCUGCCUCUUUGGCCGGCUGGGUGCCCACACGCUCGUUUCGUGGGUUGGCUUAGGCAUACGGAGUUCAUUCCACGUCUAAGCAUACGCAAUUCAUUCCUAGUCUAAGAUCAGACCGAACCGAGGGUUGCGGCAGCAAGACCAGCAGCAGGAUCAACAGCAUGUAGGGGGGAUCGGGUCGGUCCCCGACUUGUGCAUUCUACCUCUCUGGUCGGCUGAGCGUCCGCACGCUCAUUUCAUGGGUUGACUUAGGCAUACGGAGUUCAUUCCUUGUCUAAGCCUCAACUGGAUCAAGGGUGGUGGCAGCAGGACUGACAGCGGGAUCGAUAGCACGCAGAGGGGGAUCGGGCUGAUCCCCGACUUGGGCAUUAUUCAUCUCCGACCGGUUGAAUGCUCGCACACUCAUUUCGUGGGUUGACUUAGGCAUACGGAGUUCAUCCUCAGUCUAAGCAUAUGGAGUUCAUUCCCUGUCUAAGAUCGAACUGGAUCGAGGGUUGUGGCAGCAAGAUCGAUAGCACGCAGGGGGGACUGGGUCGAUCCCCGACUUGCGCAUUCUGCCUCUCCGGUCGGCUGAGCGCCCGUAUGCCCAUUUUGUGGGUUGGCUUAGGCAUAGGGAGUUCAUUCCAUGUCUAAGCCCCAACCGGACCGAGGGAUGUGGCAGCGGGACUAGCAGCAUGCAGAGGGGGAUCGGGUCGAUCCUCGGCUUCGCAUUAUGCCUCUUUGGAUGGCUCAGUACCCGAGCGUUCGUUUCGUGGGUUAACUUAGGCAUACGUAGUUCAUUUCUAGUUUAAGAUCGGAUCAGACCGAGGGUUGUGGCAGCAAGAUUGACAGCACGCAGGGAGGAUCGAGUCGGUCCCAGGCUUACGCAUUCUGCCUCUCCGGUCGGCUGAGCGCCCGCACGCUCGUUUCGUGGGUUGGCUUAGGCAGAAGGAGUUCAUUCCAUGUCUAAGCAUACGAAGGUCAUUCCAUGUCUAAGCAUGUGACAGCAGGACAAGCAGUAGGAUCGGUAGCACGUAGGGGGGACCGAGUCGAUCAUCGGCUUGUGCAUUCUGCCUCUCCGACCGGCCCCUCCGGUCGACUGGGCACCCGCACACUCAUUUCGUGUGUUGACUUAGGCAUACGAAGUUCAUCCCCAGUCUAAGCAUACGAAGUUCAUUCUAGUCUAAGAUCAGACCGGACCGAGGGUUGCAGCAGCAGCAUCGACAGCUCGCAGGGGGAAUCGAGCCGAUCCUCAGCUUGCACAUUCUACCUCUUCGACCGGCUGAGUGCCUGUAUGCCUAUUUUGUUGGUUGGCUUAGGCAUAGGGAGUUCAUUCCAUGUCUAAGCCCCAACCGGAUCGAGGGUUGUGGCAGUGGGACCGACAGCACACAGAGGGGGACCGGACCGAUCCCUAGCUUGUGCAUUCUGCCUCUCUGGUGGGCUAAGCGCCCGUACGCUCAUUUCGUGUGUUGACUUAGACAUACGAAGUUCAUCCCAUGUCUAAGCUUACGAAGUUCAUUCCCAGUCUAAGAGUUUGAGCCACGGUGCACAUGCUGGGCUAGGACAGGUGCUGGUGUCGCAUUUUUUUCGCUUGAGGUACCAUCGAGGUACCAGAGAGCCUAACCGACGGCAUUGGGGGUUCCAGCGAUUGGGGGGCCAGGGGGGUGUGCGCACAUGAUCUACCUCUCCGGUCGGCUGAGCGCCCGCACGCUCGUUUUGUGGGUUGGUUUAGACAUACGGAGUUCAUUCCAUGUCUAAGCAUAUGGAGUUCAUUCCCAGGCUAAGAUCAGACCGGAUCGAGGGUUGCAGUAACAGGACCAGUAGCAGGAUCAGCAGCACGCAGGGGGGACCGAGCCAAUCCCCAACUUGCGCAUUCUGCCUCUCCUGUCGGCUGAGCACCUGCACGCUCAUUUCGUGGGUUGGCUUAGGCAUACAGAGUUCAUUCCAUGUCAAAGCCUAAGUCGGACCAAGGGUUGUGGUAGCAGGAACGGCAACAGGAUCGAUAACACGUAGAGGGGGAUCGGGCUGAUCCCCGGCUUGCGCAUUAUGCCUCUCCGGUCGACUGAGCAUCUGCACACUAAUUUCAUGGGUUGACAUAGGCAUACGGAGUUCAUCCCCAAUCAAGCAUACGAAGUUCAUUCCCAGUCUAAGAUCAAACUGGACUGAGGGUUGUGGCAACAGGAUCGGUAGCACGCUAGGGGGAUCGGGUCGAUUCCUGGCUUGCGCAUUCUACCUCUCCGACCGACUGAGUGCUCGAAUGCCCGUUUCAUGGGUUGGCUUAGGCAUAGGUAGUUCAUUCCAUGUCUAAGCCCUAGUCGGACCGAGGGUUGUGGCAGUGGGAUCGGUAGCACGCAGAGGGGGAUCGAACCGAUCCCCAGCUUGCGCAUUAUGCCUCUCUGGCCAGCUCAGCGCCCGAACGCUCAUUUCAUGGGUUGACUUAGGCAUACGGAGUUCAUUCCCAUUCUAAGAUCGGACCGGACCGAAGGUUGCGGCAGCAGGAUCGACAGCACGCAAGGGGGGACCAGAUCGGUCCUCGGUUUACGCAUUCUGCCUCUCCAGUAGGCUGAGCAUCCGUACGCUCAUUUCGUGGGUUGGCUUAGGCAUACAGAGUUCAUUCCAUGUCUAAGCAUACGGAGUUCAUUCCUAGUCUAAGAUCGGACCAGACCGAGGGUUACGGCAGCAGGACCAAUAGCAGGAUCGACAGCACGCAGGGGGCGACUGGGCCGAUCCCCGGCAUGCGCAUUCUGCCUCUCCGGUCAGCCUCUGCGGUUGGUUGAGCGCCCGCACGCUCAUUUCAUGGGUUGACUUAGGCAUACGGAGUUCAUCCCCAGUCUAAGCACACGGAGUUCAUUCCUAGUCUAAGAUCAGACUGGAUCGAGGGUUGCGACAGCAGGAUCGACAGGACACAGGAGGGAGGGGGUUGAUCCUCGACUUGCGCAUUCUGCCUCUCUGGCUAGCUGAGCGCCCGGACGUCCGUUUCUUGGGUUGGCUUAGCCAUAGCGAGUUCCAUCCAUGUCUAAGUCCCAAUCGGACCGAGGGUUGCGGCAGCGGGACUGACAGCACACAGAAGGGGACUAAGCCAAUCCCCGACUUGUGCUUCUACCUCUCCAGUCGGCUGAGUGCCCGCAAGCUCGUUUCGUGGGUGGGCUUAGGCAUAUGGAGUUCAUUCCAUGUCUAAGCGUAUGAAGUUCAUUCCCAGUCUAAGAGUUUGAGCCACGGUGUCACAUUUUUUUCGUCCGAGGCACCAUCACUGGAGCAUCAUCGGAGUAUCACCCGAGAGCCUAAUCGACGGCAUUUGGGGUUCCGACGAUUGGGGGGCCCGAAGGGGGUGUGCGCACAUGAUGUGUGAUGGGUGCUGGUACUUGGCCCUUAUAUUGGCCCCCUAUCCCUCAUCAAACCUUGAGAACUCACACCCUUUUAAAAAGUAUUUGAGAUUCUAUAGGUUUGCUACCAGUAGCCAUUACAGUGUUUGAAAUGGGGACACUUUUUUCAAACGGUCACAAAAUCUUCUCCACUCCGAGUUUCUUGCUGAAUUAUUUUAUGCAUGCCAACAAAAAUACAAGGAUCACCUCUACCAAAUUUGGGGACAAAACUCUUUCUAAAAAAAUUUUAAAAAAUCCUAAACCGUAAAAAGUUUCAAAAAUCAUGAAAAAUAAAAAACGGGUCAUCUUGCCACAAAACUUCACAUGAAGGCUUAGGGGACCAUUGUAUGAAUUUAGAUGCCAUAAAAAUGGCAUUGGCACGGCAGAAAUAUGAAGAUGUGCUUGAACCCACCUACCACCAGUUCGAUCCCCGGCUUGCGCAUCCUGCCUCUCUGGUCGGCUAAACGUCCGCACGCUCAUUUCAUGGGUUGGCUUAGGCAUACGGAGUUCAUCCCCAGUCUAAGCAAAUAGAGUUCAUUCCUAUUCUAAGAUCAGACCGGAGCGAGGGUUAUGGUAGUAGGAUCGACAGCACGCAAGGGGGACCGAGCCAAACCAUGGCUUGCAUAUUCUGCCUCUCCGAUCGGCUGAGCGCCCACAUGCUCCUAUCGUGGGUUGGCUUAGGCAUAGGGAGUUCAUUCCAUGUCUACACCCCAGCUAGACCGAGGGCUGUGGCAGCGAGACUGGCAUCACGCAGAGGGGGAUCGAGCUGAUCCCCGGCUUGCGCAUUAUGCCUCUCCGGCCGGCUCAGCACCCGCACACUCAUUUUGUGGGUUGACUUAGGCAUACGGAGUUCAUUCCAAGUCUAAGAUUGAAUUUAACUGAGGGUUACGGCAGCAGGAUCGACAGCACACAGGUGGGGACCAGGCUAAUCCCUGGCUUGCUCAUUCUGCCUCUCCGACCGGCUAAGCACCCGUACGUUCAAUUCGUGGCCUGGCUUAGGCAUACGGAGUUCAUUCCAUGUUUAAGCAUACGGAGUUCAUUCCCAGUCUAAGAUCAGAUCGUACCGAGGGUUGCGAGAGCAGGACCAGCCGUAGGAUAGGCAGUACGCAGGGGGGACCGGGCCGAUCCCCAGCUUGCGCAUCUGCCUUUCCGACCAGCUGAGCGCCUGCACGCUCGUUUUGGGGUUGACUUAGGCAUACGGAGUUCAUCCCUAGUCUAAGCAUACGGAGUUCAUUCCCAGUCUAAGAUCAGACUGGAUCGAGAGUUGCGGCAACAGGAUUGGCAGCACGCAGGGGGGCCAGGCCGAUCCCCGACUUACGUAUUCUGCCUUUCCGACCGACUGAGCACCCGCACGCCCAUUUCGUGGGUUGGCUUAGGCAUAGGGAGUUCAUUACAUGUCUAAGCCCCAGUCGGAUCGAGGGUUGUGGUAUCAGGAUCGGUAGCACGUAGAGGGGGACCGAGCUGAUCCCCGACUUGUGCAUUCUACCUCUCUGACCGGUUGAGUGCCCGCACGCUCGUUUCGUGGGUUGGCUUAGGCAUACGGAGUUCAUUCCAUGUCUAAGCAUACAGAGUUCAUUCCAGUCUAAGAGUUUGAGCCAUGGUGCACAUGCUGAUUUCGGGCCUGUACUGGUGCCAUAUUUUUUUCACACGAGGCACCAUCGUUGGAGCAUCGCCGGAAAGCCUAACCGGUGGUAUUAGGGGUUUCGGUGAUUUGGGGGGGUCGAGGGGUGUGCGUACAUGAUGUGCGAUGGGUGCUGGUAGUUGGCCCUUAUAUUGGCCCCCUAUCCCUCAUCAAACCUCGAGAACCCACACCCCUUAAAGUGCGUUUGAGAUUUUAUAGGUUUGCUGCCAGUAGCCAUUAAAGUGUUUGAAAUGAGGACAUUUUUUUCAAACUAUCACAAAAUCUUUUCCACUUCGAGUUUUUAGCUGAAUUGUUUUGGGCAUGCCAAAAAAAAUACAAGGAUCACCUCUACCAAAUUUGGGGACAAAAAUCUUUCUAAAAAAAUUUAAAAAAAUCCCGAACCAUAAAAAGUUUUAAAAAUCGUGAAAAAUAGAAAACAGGUCGUCUUGCCACGAAACUUCACAUGAAGGCUUAGGGGACCAUUGUAUGAAUUUACAAGCCAUAAAAAUGGCAUUGGCAUGGCAGAAAUAUAAAGAUGUGCUUGAACCCACCUACCACCCGUUCGAUCCCCGACUUGCGCGUCCUGCCUCUCUGGUCGGCUGAGCGCCCGCACGCUCGUUUAGUGAGUUGACUUAGGCAUACGGAGUUCAUCCCCAGUCUAAGCAUAUGGAGUUCAUUCCCAGUCUAAGAUUGGACCGGACCAAGGGUUGCAGCAGCAGGAUCGACAACACCCAGGGGGGAUCGGACCGAUCCCUGGCUUACGCAUUCUGCCUCUCCGGCUGACUGACCGCCCGCACGCCUGUUUCGUGGGUUGGCUUAGGCAUAGGGAGUUAAUUCAAUGUCUAAGCCCCAGCCGGAUCGAGGGUUGUGGCAGCGAGACCGGUAGCACGCAGAGGGGGACCAGACUGAUCCUCGGUUUCCGUAUUAUGCCUCUCGGGCUUGCUCAAUGCCCACACGCUCGUUUCAUGGGUUGACUUUGGCAUACGGAGUUCAUUCCCAAUCUAAGAUCAGACUGGACCGAGGGUUGUGGCAGCAGGAUCGACAGCACGUAAGGGGGAUCGGGUCGAUCCUCGACUUGCACAUUCUGCCUCUCCGACCGACUGAGCACCUGCAUGCUCGUUUCGUGGGUUGGCUUAGGCAUACGGAGUUCAUUCCAUGUCUAAGCAUAUGGAGUUCAUUCCCAGUCUAAGAUCAGACCGGACCGAGGGUUGCGACAGCAGGUCCAGCACAGGAUCGACAGCACGCCGGGGGGAUCGGGCUGAUCCACAACUUGCACAUUCUGCCUCUCCGGCCGGUUGAGCACCCGCCCACUCAUUUCAUGGGUUGGCUUAGGCAUACAAAGUUCAUUCCAUGUCUAAGCCCCAAUCGGACCGAGGGUUAUGGCAGCAAGAUCAGCAGCGGGAUCGAUAUUACGCAGAGGGGGAUCGAGCUGAUCCUCGGCUUGCGCAUUAUGCCUUUUCGGCCAGCCUCUCUUGCUGGUUGAGUGCCCGCACGCUCGUUUUAUGGGCUGACUUAGGCAUACGGAGUUCAUCCCCAGUUUAAACAUACGGAGUUCAUUCCAGUCUAAGAUCAGAUCGGAUCGAAGGUUGUGGCAACUGGACCAGUAGUAAGAUCGGUAGCACGCAAGGGGGCCGGGCCGAUCCCUGGCUUGUGCAUUCUGCCUCUCUGGCCGACUGAGCACCCACACGCUCGUUUUGUGGGUUGGCUUAGGCAUACGGAGUUCAUUCCAUGUCUAAGCAUACGGAGUUCAUUCCCAGUCUAAGAUUUUGAGUCACGGUGCACAUGCUGGGCUCGGGCAUGUGCUAGUGUCACUUUUUUUUGGCUCGGGGCACCAUCGACGGAGCAUCGCCAGAGCAUCACCGGAGAGCCUAACCGACGGCAUUAAAGGUUUCGACGAUUGGGGGGUCGGGGGUGUGUACACAUGAUGUGCGAUGGGUGCUGGUUCUUGUGUCACGAGCUCUGACCUUAAACUUAGAAACUGUAUGGCCUUAGGCUUGGAAUCUCCUCACUUAUGCAUAAGUCAGCUUAAAACACAAGCGUAUGGGCACUAGAACAACAGGAAGGGCUGAUUACACAAGUUAAAGAGAAACAGGAUAAGAAGGCAGAAUUCUGGAAAUGCUCUUGUAUUCACUAAAACGGAAGUGUUUGAUGGUGUACAAAUGAGGGAGGUCCAGCCCUCUAUUUAUAGUUGAGGCUCCAGCUUACACUUAAUGGCAAUAUCCCUAGAAUAAAGGCUAAAAUCAUGGGAUUAUAUAGAUUACAAUCAAUCAGGAUGCUAACUCCUGAUUUUCAGGGUUAACCAAAUCUGCCAGGAUGCUGCUGCUGAUCCUGCCUACUUCCAAAAGCUUCCUUUGCGUGUCUAGCACCUUAGGCCCUUCUGGAUGUGUUACGGGCAGCUUGUAUGCUAGGCCUUGGUCUUAUGGGCUAGCCUGCAAGUUGGGUGGGCGUUCAGAACUCAUUUGCUAGGCUUUGCAUGUAGAUACCCGCCAGCACGCCUGGUCUACGAGCCUCAACCUCUAGCUCACCUGUUGGUGCACCUGAUUGCAUAACACCCUCAUUGUGUCUUCUGCAUGGUACUGCCUAAUUUGGUCCCUGAACUGCCAUAAGUCAUCUGCUGGUUCCCAGCUCGCCUCACUGUCUGAAAGUCCCUUCUAGCACACCAAGUACUCUUGUCUUGGAUAAUAGUUCUUUCGUCUCACCUCCUGAUCAGCUAUGAUGUUGUGGACCUCCUUCUCAUAUGAGGCCCUUGCUCCCAAUGGCGCACGCUUUGACUCUGCCCGUCCUGGAUCUCCCUCAUCCUCAUGGAACGGCUUGAGCAUGCUCACAUGGAACACCAGGUGUACCUUCGGCUUGGGUGGCAUAUCCAGCUUGUAGGCAACCUUGCCUACCCUCUUGACUACUCGAAAAGGUCCCUCAUACCUCCAAACUAGGCCUUUGUGCAGCCCCCUAUGGUGCACAAUGGGAUGCAGCUUCACCAACACCAAGUUUCCAACCUAGAACUCCACGUCCCGCCUAUUCUAGUCUGCCCACUUCUUUGACCUCUUGGCCGUCUUGUGUAGACAAACUCUGGCCAAGUCAGUUUGCUCCUGCCAUGCCUUGGCAAACUUGUAUGUUGCUGGAUUCAGCCCUGUAUAACCUGCAGCAAUCGAACCGGGUGUUAGUUGUUGUUGCCCUGUCACAACCUCAAAUGGGCUCUGGUUCGUUGCCUCGCUCUUUUGCAAGUUGUAGGAAAAUUGUGCAAUAUCUAGCAGCUUUGGCCAGUCCCUUUGUGUGGCACUCACAUAGUGCCUGAGAUAGACCUCUAAUAGUCCAUUCACUCGUUCUGUCUGCCCAUCGGUCUGUGGAUGCAUGCUGGUGGAAAAGUUCAAGUCUGACCCUAACAGCUUGAACAACUCAGUCCAGAACCUGCCCGUGAAAUGCCCGUCUCGAUCACUAAUAAUGGUCCUCGGCACUUCCUAGUACUUAACCAUGUUCUUCAGGAACAAUCGAGCUGCCUCCUCGGCUGUGCACUCCUUGGUUGCUGGAAUGAAGAUUCCAUACUUGGAAAACCUGUCCACCACUACCAUGAUGCUUUUAAACCCUUUUGCUUUGGGUAGACUGACUAUAAAGUCUAGAGAAACACUCUCCCAUGGUCACUCUGGCACUGGCAAUGGCUCCAAGAGACCACCUGGUUUCUUGAGCUCCACCUUGUCCUAUUGGCACACAAGACAAGUCUUCACAUAGGCCUCCACAUCGUCCCUCAUGUGCGGCCAGUAGUAUCGAUCCUCGAUCAACACCAAGGUACGACUCACUCCGGGGUGUCCAGCCCAUCUUGAAUCAUGGCAUUCUUGCAAAACUUCCUUGCAGAGCUUUUCGUGCUGUGGUACAAAUAGUCUACUUCCCCUGGUGUACAGUAAGCCAUCCUGUAACCAAAACUGCCUAGUCUUACCUUGCUGGGCGUACUCCAUCAAAGCCUUGGCUAUAGGAUCAUGUGCAAGUCCCUCUUUGAUGGGCGGCACCAGUGACCCCUCUAGUUGGCUAAUGGUAGCAAGGUUAGCCUUCCUGCUCAGGGCGUCUGCCACUAGGUUCACCCAUCCCUGCUUGUACUGCAUCUGGAAAUCAAAUUUCGCAAGAAAAUCUUACCAUCUCGCCUACUUGGGGGAUAGCUUCUUCUGCGUCUGGAAGUAGCUGGUCGUCACAUUGUCCAUCUUAACCAUGAACCUCGACCCCAACAGGUAAUGGUGCCAAGUGUGUAAGCAGUGCACCACUACAGUCAUCUCCUUCUCUUGGACCUUGUACUUGCGCUCAGUCUCGUUCAGCUUCCUGCUCUUGAACAUGACUGGACGUCCCUCCUGCAUCAACAAGCCCCCUAUGGCAAAGUCUGAUGCAUCUGUAUGCACCUCAUAUGGCUUGGUAUGGUCUGGCAAGGGUAAGACUGGCUCUUCGAUCACAGCCUGCUUCAACCUGUCAAAGGCUUCCUGGCACCCUGCGCUCCACUCCCAUGCUUUCCCUUUCUUGAGCAAGUCAGUCAAUGGCGUGGCUAUUGCUGAGUGACCUUUGAUGAAGCGCUUGUAGUAGUUGACCAGCCCAAGGAAUGAUCUCAACUCAGUGACCUUGGCUGGCGGUUGCCACUCCAAGAUGGCAUGUAUCUUACCUUCAUCCAUGCGUAUCUUGCCACUUCCCACUAUGUGGCCAAGGAACAGGAUCUCCAGCUAGGCGAAUGAGCACUUCUCCCUCUUGACAAAUAGCUUGUGCACUCGCAACACCUCGAACACCUGUCUCAAGUGGUCUACAUGCUCUCCCAAAGUCUGGCUGUAGAUCACAAUGUCAUCCAAAUAAACCACAACAAAUUGAUCAAGGAAUGACUGAAGUACCUUGUUCAUAAGGGUGCAGAAUGUUGCUAGGGCGUUCGUAAGUCUGAAAGGCAUCACCAAGAACUCAUACGAACCAUACCAAGUGACACAUGCUGUCUUUGGCUCAUCUCCUUCCGUGAUCCUGACUUGAUAGUAGCCUGACCUCAAAUCCAGCUUGGUGAACCACCUUACGCUCCCAAGUUGGUCGAAUAAGUCUGCAAUGAGUGGGAUGGGGUACUUGUUCUUGAUGGUUAGCUUGUUCAAAGCCCGGUAGUCUAUGCACAGUCACAACGACCCAUCAUGCUUGCGCUAAAAUAGAAUUGGUGCACCAUAGGGUGCCUUCGAUGGCCUGAUGAAACCAGCAUCAACUAACUCUUUGAGCUGCUUCCUCAACUCCUCCAACUCUGGUGGAGACAUUAGGUAAGGGGCUCUAGCUGGUGGCUUGGCCUCGGACACUAGCUCGAUCUUAUGGUCCACCUCCCUCUUAGGUGGUCGCUUGCUAGGUAGCUUUACGGGCAUCACAUCACUUAAGGUCUUUGGCACCUUUAGCACCUCCAAGGGUGACUCGAUCUCCUUCUCCUUUGGCUCAUCAUAUUUCAGGGCUGCCAAGAAGGUGUCUUCUUGUCUGCUUAUCGCCUUAGCAAAUUGGAUGGCUGACACCACCCGCAACCCAACUCCAGACCCUCUCCUCAAUGGCACUAGGCAUUGGCACCGUGCAUCCAAGAUGCAAACACAAUCGACAAAAGGCACAAAGAGGGCAUUAAUCCGAACAAAGAAAUCCAACCCAAUCACAAACUCAUAGUCGUCAAGGGUAUUACCUCAAUGGUCUCCUUGCCUUUCUAGUUUCCAAGCUGUAACUCCACUCCCCGCGCUACUCCAUUGGCUGGAACUUCCUUGGAGUUCACCGUUUUGAUGGUACCAGUCCUUUUUUGUACCUUUAGUCUGACCUUUCGAGCUCUAUCACCUGAAAUAAAAAGAUGUGAGGCACCAUGUCCACCAGUGCACUCACCUUCUGACCCGUAACCAUCAGAUCCGUAAACAUCAAGCCCUUUGGCUUGCUACUCCCCUUACUCUGGACAGCAUUACUACUCCUCAUCAGACUCCUUGUCUACAGCAGCCAGCUUACCCUUCUGUGGGUAAUUGCACGCUAUGUGGCUCCCUCCACAUAGGUAGCAUGCUAGUGGCUCUCGGUCCCCUUUUGCUUUCCACUUGCUUGCUGGUGGCUUCCUCUCGCCAUCCUUGGUUGAAUGGUCUCAGUCUCUAUCCUUGGACUCCCGGCCAUGGUCCUUCCCCUUGGACUGCUUCUUUUGAUCCCUAUCAUCCCUGUCCUUACCCUUGGGCUUGGUAGAUUCAAACUUGUUCAGAGGCUUGAACUCUAUCAAGGCCUCGACAGUAGUCAUGGCUUUAGCCAAGUCAUGAACUCCUCUCCUUUGUAGCUCAUGCUUCACCCACGGCUUCAGCCCAUCCAUGAAAGCAAAUAAGGAGUCCUUCUCACCUAGAUCCGAGAUCUAUAGCAUCAGUUCAGAGAAUUUCUAGACAUACUCCCUUAUGUCCCCUUGCUGGCUCAGCCUGCAUAACUUUGCCCGCCUCAUCAUCGACAUACUCUGGGUAAAAUUAUUCUCUGAACUCCUUUUGGAACUCUGCCCAGGUUCCAAUCUUGGUGCUCCCAUGCCUGACAUCAUCACACCUAUGCCUCUACCACAAUAAGGCUACAUCAGUGAGAUACAUACAGCGGUGCUUACCUUUAUCGCCUCAUCUUGCAUGCCCAUGGCCUGGAAGUACUGCUCCAUACCCUAAAGGUAGUUAUCUACUUCCUUGGCUGCCCUAGUCCCCUUGAACUCCUUAGGCUUGGGGACAUCCAAUCUGGACUUGGACACUCCAGCAAACAGCCAUUCCUAAUGGCAGUCUUGCAAGCAAUGAGCUCACUGGUAAGCUUCUCCAUCCGCUGGCGCAUGGCCUCCAUGCCAUCGUGCAAGGUCAGCACUUCAGCCUCCAAGGUCUGAUUCUUUUGGGUGAACACGUCCAAGCCUUUGUUGAGAGCAGCUUGCAGCUCACUUUGGAUCCCUCCCCUAUGGAGUCUAGCGAUGCAAUGUGAGUCUCUACCCCCUCAAGCUUCUCCUCCAUGUGCCCAUGGUCACCUCCACCUUGGCCACCUACCGUCCAUGGUAGACCAGAUAUCUCUAGAACUAGCUUUCCUCCCUCUUCCACACCCAUGCUCUGGGCCUCUGGUUGUUGGUUAGCAGCGUCACUUUGGGAUGCCAUCUCCUCUAACCUGCACAACACAAACACGUAGAAUCGAACUUGCUCUGAUACCAACUGUCACAGGCUCUGACCUUAGACUCAGAAACCGUGUGGCCUUAGGCUUGGAAUCUCCUCCUUUAAGCCUAAGUCAGCCUAAAACACAAGCGUACGAGCACUAGAACAACAGGAAGGGCUGAUUACGCAAGUUAAAGAGAAACAGGAUAAGAAGGUAGAAUUCUAGAAAUGCUCUUGUAUUCACUGAAAUAGAAGUGUUUGAUGGUGUACAAAUGAGGGAGGAGCAGCCCUCUAUUUAUAGUUAAGGCUCCAGCUUACACUUAAUGGCAAUAUCCCUAGAAUAAAGGCUAAAAUCAUGGGAUUAUAUAGAUUAUAAUCAAUCAGGAUGCUAACUCCUGAUUUUCAGGGUCAACCAAAUCUGCCUGGAUGCUGCUGCUGAUCCUGCCUGCUUCCAAAAGCUUCCCUUGCAAGUCCAGCACCUUGGGCCCUUCUGGAUGUGGUGCAGGCAGCUUGUAUGCCAGGCCUUGGUCUCACGGGCUGGCCUGCAAGUUGGGCGGGCAUUCUGAACUCAUUCGCUAGGCUUUGCGUGUAGAUACCCGCCAGCACGCCUGGUCUGUGGGCCUCAACCUCUGGCUCUCCUGCUGGUGCACCUGAUGUGCCUGGCGCCCACCCUGGGCAUGACACUUGGCCCUUAUAUUGGCCCCCUAUCCCUCAUCAAACCUCGAGAACUCACACCCCCUUAAAGAGCAUUUGAGAUUUUAUAGGUUUGCUGCCAGUAGCCAUUAAAGUGUCCAAAAUGGGGACACUUUUUUCAAACGAUCACAAAAUCUUCUCCACUUCGAGUUUUUAGCUCAAGUGUUUUGUGCAUGCCAACAAAAAUACAAGGAUCACCUCUACCAAUUUGGGGACAAAACUCUUUCUAAAAAAUUUUUAAAAAAUCUCGAACCGCAAAAUGUUUCAAAAAUCGUGAAAAAUAGAAAACGGGUCGUCUUGCCACGAAACUUCACAUGAAGGCUUAGGGGACCAUUAUAUCAAUUUACAAGUCAUAAAAAUGGCAUUGGCAUGGCAGAAAUAUGAAGAUGUGCUUGAACCCACCUACCACCCGUUCGAUCCCUAGCUUACGCAACCUGCCUCUCUGGUCGGCUGAGCGCCCGCACGCUCGUUUUAUGGGUUGACUUAGGCAUACGGAGUUCAUCCCCAGUCUAAGCAUAUGGAGUUCAUUCCCAGUCUAAGAUCGAACUGGAUCGAGGGUUGUGGUAGUAGGAUCGACAGCACGCAGGGGGGAUCGGGCCAAUCCCCAGCUUGCACAUUUUGCCUUUCCGGUCGGCUGAGCACCCGUACGCGUGUUUCGUGGGUUGGCUUAGGCAUAAGGAGUUCAUUCCAUGUCUAAGCCCCAGCCGGACCAAGGGUUGUGGCAGCGGGACUGGCAGCACGCAGAGGGGGACCAGGCCAAUCCCUGGUUUGCGCGUUAUGCCUCCCCGGUCGGCUCAAUGCUUGCACAUUCAUUUCAUGGGUUGACUUAGGCAUACAGAGUUCACUCCCAAUCUAAGAUCUGAUCGGACUGAGGGUUGUGAUAGCAGGAUCGACAGCACGUAGGGGGGGACCGGGUCGAUCCCUGGCUUGCGCAUUUUGCCUCUCCGGCCGGCCGUAAGCUCGUUUCAUGGGUUGGCUUAGGCAUACGGAGUUCAUUCCAUGUCUAAGCAUACGAAGUUCAUUCCCAAUCUAAGAUUGGACCGGAUUGAGGGUUGCAGCAGUAGGACUAGUAGCAGGAUCGGCAACACGAAGGGGGGAUCGGGCCGAUCCUCGAUUUGCACAUUCUGCCUCUCUGACCGACUGAGCACCCGCACGCUCGUUUCGUGGGUUGACUUAGGCAUACGGAGUUCAUCCCCAGUCUAAGCAUACGGAGUUCAUUCCCAGUCUAAGAUCAGAUCGAACCGAGGGUUACGACAGCAGGAUCGACAGCACGUAGGGGGGACCAGGCCGAUCCCCGGCUUAUGCAUUCUGCCUCUCCGAUCGGCUGAGCACCUGCACGCCCAUUUCAUGGGUUCGCUUAGGCAUAGGGAGUUCAUUCCAUGUCUAAGCCCCAGCCAGACCGAGGAUGUGGCAGUGGGACUGACAGCAUGCAGAGGGGGAUCGGGUCGAUCCCCAGCUUGUGCAUUAUGCCUCUUCGGCCUGCUUAGCGCCUGUACGCUCAUUUCGUUUGUGCAUGCCAACGAAAUGCAAGGACAACCUCUAACAAAUUUGGGGACAAAAAUCUUUCUAAAAAAAUUUUUAAAAAUCCCGAACCGAAAAAAGUUUCAAAAAUCAUGAAAAAUAGAAAAUGAGUCGUCUUGCCACGAAACUUCACAUGAAGGCUUAGGGGACCAUUGCAUGAAUUUACGAGCCAUAAAAAUGGCAUUGGCACGGAAGAAAUAUGAAGAUGUGCUUGAACCCACCUACCACCCAUUCGAUCCCCGGCUGCGCAUCCUGCCUCUUUGGUCAGCUGAGCGCCUGCACGCUCAUUUCGUGGGUUGACCUAGGCAUACGGAGUUCAUCCCAGUCUAAGCAUAUGGAGUUCAUUCCAGUCUAAGAUUUUGAGCCACGGUGCACAUACUGGGCUAGGGCUUGUGCUGCUGCCACUUUUUUUUCACCCGGGGCACCAUCGCCAGAGCGUCGCCGGAGCAUCGCCGGAGAGCCUAACCAGUAGCAUUAGGGGUCCGACGAUUGGGGGGGUCGGGGGGGUGCGCACAUGAUGUGCAUGGGUGCUGGGUACUUGGCCUUAUAUGGCCCCCUAUCCCUCAUCAAACCUCGAGAACUCAGCACCCCCUUAAAAGAUGCAUUUGAGAUUUAUAGGUUUGCUGCCAAUAGCCAUUAAAGUGUCUGAAAUGGGGACACUUUUUUCAACGGUCACAAAAUCUUUUCCACAUCGAGUUUUUAGCUAAAUAUUUUUGUGCAAUGCCAAAAAAAUACAAGAAUCACCUCUAACAAAUUUGGAUACAAACGCUUUCCUAAAAAAAUUUUAAAAAUCCCCAACCGUAAAAUGUUUUGAAAAUAAUGAAAAAUAGAAAACUGUUCGUCUUGCCACGAAACUUCACAUGAAGGCUUAGGGGACCAUUGUAUGAAUUUACAAGCCAUAAAAAUGGCAUUGGCACGGUAGAAAUAUGAAGAUGUGCUUGAACCCACCUACCACUCGCUCGAUCCCCGACUUACGCAUCCUGCCUCUUUGGCCAGCUGAGCCCCCGCACGCUCGUUUUAUGGGUUGACUUAGGCAUAUAGAGUUCAUCCCCAGUCUAAGCAUACGCAGUUCAUUCCCAGUCUAAGAUCGGACCAGACCAAGGGUUGUGAUAGCAGGAUGGGUAGCACGUAGGGGGGACCGAACCGAUCCCCGGCUUGCGUAUUCUGCCUCUCCGACCGGCUGAGUGCCUGCACGCCCGUUUAGUGGGUUAGCUUAGGCAUAAGGAGUUCAUUCUAUGUCUAAGCCCCAGCGGGACCAAGGGUUGUGGCAGCAGGACCGACAUUUCGUAGAGGGGGACCGAUCCAGUCCCCAGCUUGCGCAUUAUGCCUCUCCGGCCGGCUCAGCGCUGCAGGCUCAUUUCGUGGGUUGACCUAGGCAUACGGAGUUCAUUCCCAUUCUAAGAUUAGACCAGAUCGAGGGUUGCGGUAGCAAGAUUGAAAGCACACAGGGGGAUCGGGUCGGUCCCCGGCUUACGCAUUCUGCCUUUGCGACCGGCUGAGCACCCGCACGUUUGUUUCGUGGGUUGGAUUAGGCAUACGGAGUUCAUUCCAUGUCUAAGCAUAUGGAGUUCAUUCCUAGUCUAAGAUGGGAUCGGAUCGAGGGUUGUGGCAAAAGUACUAGCAGCAGGAUCGGCAGCACGCAGGGGGGUACCGGUCAAUCCCCAUCUUGUGCAUUCUGCCUCUGCAGCCGGUUGAGCGCCCGAACGCCCAUUUCGUGGGUUGGCUUAGGCAUAGGGAGUUCAUUCCAUGUCUAAGCCCCAACCGGACCAAGGGUUGUGGUAGCGGGACCGACAGCACGCAGAGGGGGACUGGGCUGAUCCCCGGCUUGUGCAUUAUGCCUCUUCGGCAGGCUUAGCACUCACACGCUCAUUUCAUGGGUUGACUUAUGCGUACGAAGUUCAUUCCCAGUGUAAGAUCUAACCAGAUCGAGGGUUGCGAUAGUAUAAACGAUAGCAUGCAAUGGGGGAUCGGGUCAAUCCCCGGCUUACGCAUUCUACCUCUCCGACCGACUGAGUGCCCGCACGCUCGUUUCAUGGGUUAGCUUAGGCAUACGGAGUUCAUUACAUGUCUAAGCAUAUGGAGUUCAUUCCCAAUCUAAGAUUGGAUCGGAUCGAGGGUUGCAGCAGUAGGAUCUGCAGCUCGCAAGGGGGGACCGAGCCUAUCCCCGACUUGUGCAUUCUGCCUCUUCGACCGACUGAGCUCCCGCACGCCCAUUUCAUGGGUUGGCUUAGGCAUAGGGAGUUCAUUCCAUGUCUAAGCCCAAGCUGGACCAAGGGUUGUGGCAACGGGACCGGCAGCAUGUAGAGGUGGACCGGGCCGAUCCCCGACUUGCGCAUUAUGCCUUUUCGAUCGGCUCAGCGCCCGCACCCUCGUUUCGUGGGUUGACUUAUGCAUACGGAGUUCAUUCCCAGUCUAAGAUCAGACCAGACUGAGGGUUGCGGCAGCAAGAUAGACAACAUGCAGGGGGACCAAGCCGAUCCCCGACUUGCGCAUUUUGCCUCUCCGGCCGGCUGAGCGUCCGCACGCUCGUUUCGUGGGUUUGCUUAGGCAUACAGAGUUCAUUCCAUGUCUAAGCAUACAGAGUUCAUUCCCAGCCUAAGAUUUCGAGCCACAGUGCACAUGCUGGGCUCGGGCAUGUGCUAAAGCCAAAUAUUUUUCACCCGGGGCACCAUCGUCGGAGCAUCUCCGUAGCAUCGCCGGAGAGCCUAACCAGUGGCAUUGGGGGUUCCAGUGAUUGGGGGGGCCGGGGGGUGUGCGCACAUGAUGUGUGAUUGGUGCUGGUACUUGGCCCUUAUAUUGGCCCCCUAUCCCUCAUCAAACCUCAAGAACUCACACCCCCUUAAAGAGCAUUUGAGAUUUUAUAGGUUUGCUGCCAGUAGCCAUUAAAGUGUUUGAAAUGGGGACACUUUUUUCAAACGGUCACAAAUCUUCUCCACUUUGAGUUUUUUGCUGAAUUUUUUUGUGCAUGCCAAAAAGAAUACAGGGAUCACCUCUACCAAAUUUGGAGAAAAAACUCUUUCUAAAAAAAUUUUAAAAAAUCUCGAACCGCAAAAAGUUUCAAAAAUCAUAAAAAAUAAAAAACAGGUCGUCUUGCCACGAAACUUCACAUGAAGGCUUAGGGGACCAUUGUAUGAAUUUAAAAGCCAUAAAAAUGGCAUUGGCAUGGCAGAAAUAUGAAGACAUGCUUGAACCCACCUACCACCCUUUCGAUCCCCGGCUUGCGCAUCCUGUCUCUCUGGUCGGCUGAGCGCCUGCAUGCUCAUUUCGUGGGUUGACUUAGGCAUACGGAGUUCAUCCCCAGUCUAAGCAUACGGAGUUCAUUCUUAGUCUAAGAUCAGACCGGAUCGAGGGUUGCGACAGCAGGAUCGACAGCACGCAAGAGGGACCGGACUGAUCCCCAGCUUACGCAUUCUGCCUCUCAGACCGACUGAGCGCCUGAACGCCCGUUUCGUGGGUUGGCUUAGGCAUAGGAAGUUCAUUCCAUGUCUAAGCCCCAGUUGGACUGAGGGUUGUGGCAGCGGGACCAGCAGCACACAGAGGGGGACUGAGUCGAUCCCCGGCUUGCGUAUUAUGCCUCUUCGACCGGCUCAGCACCCGCACGCUCAUUUUGAGGGUUGACCUAGGCAUACGGAGUUCAUUCCCAGUCUAAGAUCAGCCUAGACUGAGGGUUGCAGUAGCAGGAUCGAUUGGACGUAGGGGGAAUCGGGUCGAUCCCCGGCUUGCGCAUUCUGCCUCUCCGAUCGACUGAACGCCCGAACGCUCUUUUCAUGGGUUGGCUUAGGCAUACAGAGUUCAUUCCAUGGCUAAGCAUACAGAGUUCAUUCCCAGUCUAAGAUCAGACCAGAUCGAGGGUUGUGAUAGCAGGACUAGCAACAGGAUCGACAGCACGCAUAGGGGAACGGGCCGAUCCCCAGCUUGCACAUUCUGCCUCUUCGACUGGCUAAGCGCCUGCACGCUCAUUUUAUGGGUUGGCUUAGGCAUACGGAGUUCAUUCCAUGUCUAAGCCCUAACCAGAUCGAGGGUUAUGGCAGCAGGACCGAUAGCGGGAUCGGCAGCACGUAGAAAGGGGCCGGGCAUUUCCUCGGCUUACGUAUUCUGCCUCUUCAGUCGGUUGAGCACCCGAAUGCUCAUUUCAUGGGUUGGCUUAGGCAUAGAAGUUCAUUCCAUGUCUAUGCCCCAGCCGAACCGAGGGUUGGAUAGAGACCGCAGCGGGAUCAGCAGCAUACAGAGCACUGGGUUGAUCCUGACUUUCGCAUAGCCUCUCCGAUCGACUGAGGCACAGCAUGCUCGUUCAUGGGUUGAAUUAGGAAACGAGUUAUCCCUAUUGAAGCAUACGGAGUUCAUUCCCAGUCCAUGAUCAGACAGACAAGAGGCGUUAGCGGGAGUGGAUCCGCACGCCUGGGAUGACGAUCCUGCUGUACGCAUUCUGUGGUGAGGCUGGCUGAGCGGGCAUAAGCCAGUUGGGUUGGCUUGAGGCAUACAGUGUCAGUUCAUGUAUAAGCCCUAGCAGAGCGAGGGUUGUGGCAGAUGGGACCGAAGCCAUCAGAGGGGACAUAGGCCGAUCCCGGCUUGCGCAUUAGCCCUUUCAGUAAGCUAGUGCCCGCACGCUCGUUUCGUGGGUUGACUUUUGCAUACGGAGUUCAUUCCCAGUCCAAGAUUGGAUCGGAUCAAGGGUUGUGGCAGCAGGAUUGACAACACACAGGGGGGGAUCGGGCCGAUCCCCGGCUUGCGCAUUCUACCUUUUCGACCGACUGAGUACCCGCACGCUCGUUUCGUGGGUUGGCUUAGGCAUACGGAGUUCAUUCCAUGUCUAAGCAUACGGAGUUCAUUCUCAGUCUAAGAGUUUGAGCCACGGUGCACAUGCUGGGCUCGGGCAUGUGCUCGUGCCACAUUUUUUCACCCGGGGCAACAUCGUCGGAGCAUCGUCGGAGAGCCUAAUCGGCGGCAUUGAGGGUUCCGGUGAUUGGGGGGGCCGGAGGGUGUACGCAUAUGAUGUGCAAUGGGUGCUGGUACUUGGCCCUUAUAUUGGCCCCCUAUCCCUCAUCAAACCUCAAGAACUCACACCCCAUCAAAGAGCAUUUGAGAUUUUAUAGGUUUGCUGCCAGUAGCCAUUAAAGUGUCUAGAAUGGGCACACUUUUUUCAAAUGGUCACAAAAUCUUCUCCACUUCGAUUUUUUAGAUGAAUUUUUUUAUGCAUGCCAACAAAAAUACAGGGAUCACUUCUACCAAAUUUUAGGACAAAAAUCUUUCUAAAACAAUUUUAAAAAAUCCUGAACCGUAAAAAGUUUCAAAAAUCGUGAAAAAUAGAAAACGGGUCGUCUUGCCAUGAAACUUCACAUGAAGGCUUAGGGGACCAUUGUAUGAAUUUAAAAGCCAUAAAAAUGGCAUUGCCAUGGCAGAAAUAUGAAGAUGUGCUUGAACCCACCUACCACACGUUCAAUCCUCGACUUACGCAUCCUGCCUCUCUGAUCGGUUGAGCGUCCGCACGCUCAUUUCGUGGGUUGACUUAGGCAUACGAAGUUCAUCCCUAGUCUAAGCAUACAGAGUUCAUUCCCAGUCUAAGAUCAGACCGGACCAAUGGUUGCGACCGGGUCGAUCCUCGGCUUACGCAUUCUGCCUCUUCGACCGGUUGAGCACCCGUAAGCCCAUUUCAUGGGUUGGCUUAGGUAUAAGGAGUUCAUUCCAUGUCUAAGCCCUAGCUGGACUGAGGUUUGUGGGAGCAAGACUGGCAGCACACAAAGGGGGACCGGGCCGAUCCGCUACUUGCGCAUUAUGCCUCUCCGAUUGGCUCAGCGCCCUAACGCUCGUUUCAUGGGUUAGCUUAGGCAUAUGGAAUUCAUUCCAUGUUUAAGCAUACAGAGUUCAUUCCCAAUCUAAGAUCAGACCGACAGUAGUGACAGCAGGACCGGUAACAGGAUCGAUAGCAUGCAGGGGGAUCGGGUCGGUCCUCGACUUACGCAUUCUGCCUUUUCGGCUGGCUGAGCGCCCGUACGCUCGUUUCAUGGGUUGGCUUAGGCAUACGGAGUUUAUUCCAUGUCUAAGCAUACGGAGUUCUUUCCCAGUCUAAGAUUGGAUCGGAUCAAGGGUUGUGAUAGUAGGACCAGCAGUAGGAUCGGUAGCACGCAGGAAGGACCGGGUCGAUCCUCGACUUACGUAUUCUACCUCUUCGAUCGGGUGAAUGCCCGUACGCUUGUUUCAUGGGUAGGCUUGGGCAUACGGAGUUCAUUCCAUGUCUAAGCAUACAGAGUUCAUUCCCAGUCUAAGAUCAAAUCAGACCAAGGGUUGCCGCAGCAGGACCAGUAGCAGGAUCGACAGCACGCAGGGGGGGAUCGAGCCAAUCCCCGACUUGCGCAUUCUACCUCUCCGGCCGGCUGAGCACCCGCACUCUUGUUUUAUGGGUUGGCUUAGGUAUACAGAGUUCAUUCCAUGUCUAAGCAUACGGAGUUCAUUCCCAGUCUAAGAUCGGAUCGGACCAAGGGUUACGAUAGCAGGACCAGUAGUAGGAUCGACAGCACGUAGGGGGGAUCAGAUCGAUCCCCAGCUUGUGCAUUCUGCCUCUCCGGUCGACUGAGUGCCUGUACGUUCGUUUCGUGGGUUGGCUUAGGGAUAGGGAGUUCAUUCCAUGUCUAAGCCCCAACCAGACCGAGGGUUGUGGCAGUAGGACCGACAGCGGGAUUGGCAUCACGCGGAGGGUGACCGAGCUGAUCCCCGGCUUGUGCAUUAUGUCUCUCCGAUCGACUGAACACUCGUACGCUCAUUUCAUGGGUUGACUUAGGCAUACGGAGUUCAUCCCCAUUCUAAGCAUAUAGAGUUCAUUCCCAAUCUAGGAUCAGACCGAACCGAGGGUUGCGGUAGCAGGAUCGACAGCAUGCAUGGGGGACUGGACUGAUCCCCGACUUGCGCAUUCUGCCUCUCCGACCGGCUUGAGGCCCGCACGCCGUUUUGAGGGUUGGCUUAGGCAUCGGGAGUUAUCCAUUCCUAAGCCCAGUCAAACUGAAAGGUUGUGGUAGUGGCCUACAGUCACGUAGAAGGGAUCGGGCUGAUCCCCGGCUUAUGCAUAUGCCUCCUGAUCAGCUCAGCGCCCGCACGUCGUUCGUGGGUUGACUUAGGCAAUACAAGUUCAUUCCCAGUCUAAGAUUCGAUAGAGGUGCGCCUAGGUGCAACACGUAGAGGAUGGCCGAUCCUGGUUGCGCAUGCUCUGGCGAACAACACUCAUCUAGGUCGGCUAGAAUGGAAGCAAUCCAUUGCUAAGCUUGGAUUCAACUCCUAAGAUCGACCGAUUGGACGAGCUAGCGCCACGUACUGCUGGAUUGGCCGACCUGCAGCUUCGACGGGCGCACACUCGUUUCGUGGGUUGGCUUAAGCAUACGAAGUUCAUUCCAUGUCUAAGCCUAGUCAGACCGAGGGUUGUGACAGCAUGACUCGUAGUGGGAUCGGUAGCAUGCAGAGGGGGACCGAGUUGAUCCCCGGCUUAUGCAUUAUGUCUCUCCGACCGGCCUCUUCCACCGGCUGAGAGCCCACACGUUCAUUUCGUGGGUUGACUUAGGCAUACGGAGUUCAUCCCUAGUCUAAGCAUGUGGAGCUCAUUCCCAGUCUAAGAUCGGACCGGACCGAGGGUUGCGACAGAAAGAUCGACAGCAUGCAGGGGGGAUCGGGUCGAUCCUCGGCUUACGCAUUCUGCCUCUCCGGUCGGUUGAGCUCCCGCACGCCCGUUUCAUGGGUUGGCUUAGGCAUAGGGAGUUCAUUCCAUGUCUAAGCCCUAGUCGGACCGAGGGUUGUGGUAACAGGAUCGGUAGCACGUAGAGGGGGACCGGGUCGAUCCCUGGCUUGCGUAUUAUGCCUUUUCAGUGGGCUCAGCGCCUGAACGCUUGUUUCAUGGGUUGACUUAGGCAUACAAAGCUCAUUCCCAGUCUAAGAUCAGACGGGACCGAGGGUUGCGAUAGCAGGAUCGAUAGCAUGCAGGGGGGAUCGGGUCGAUCCCCGGCUUGCGUAUUCUGCCUCUCCGGUUGGCUGAGUGCUCGCAUGCUCCUUUCAUGGGUUGGCUUAGGCAUACAGAGUUCAUUCCAUGUCUAAGCAUACGAAGAUCAUUCCCAGUCUAAGAUCAGACCGGAUCGAGGCUUGCAGCAGCAGGAUCGACAGCACGUAGGGGGGACUGAGCCGAUCCUCGGCUUGAGCAUUCUGCCUCUUUAGUCGGCUGAGCGCCCGCACGCUCGUUUCGUGGGUUAGGCAUACAGAUUUCAUCCCCAGUCUAAGCAUACGAAGUUCAUUCCCAGUCUAAGAUUGAACUGGACCGAGGGUUGUAGUAGUAGGAUCGGCAGUACGCAGGGGGGACCGAGCUGAUCCCCAACUUGCGCAUUCUGCCUCUUCGACCGGCUGAGCACCCGCAUGCCCGUUUCGUGGGUUGGCUUAGGCGUAGGGAGUUCAUUCCAUGUCUAAGCCCCAGUCAGACCAAGAGUUGUGGCGACGGGAUCGACAGCAUGUAGAGGGGGAUCGGGUCGAUCCCUGGCUUGCGCAUUCUGCCUCUCCGACUGGCUGAACGCUCGCACACUCAUUUCAUGGGUUGGCUUAGGCAUACGGAGUUCAUUCCUUGUCUAAGCAUACGGAGUUCAUUCCUAGUCUAAGAGUUUGAGCCAUGGUGCAAAUGCUGGGCUCGGGCAUGUGCUGGUGUCACAUUUUUUUCACCCGAGGUACCAUCGCCGGAGCAUCACCGGAUAGCCUAACCGGCGGCAUUGGGGGUUCCGACGAUCGGGGGGCUGGGGGGUGUGCGCAUAUGAUGUGCGAUGGGUGCUGGUACUUGGCCCUUAUAUUGGCCCCCUAUCCCUCAUCAAACCUCAAGAACUCACACCCCCUUAAAGAGCAUUUGGGAUUUUAUAGGUUUGCGGCCAGUAACCAUUAAAGUGUUUGAAAUGGGGACACUUUUUUCAAACGGUCAAAAAAUCUUCUCCACUUCGAGUUUUUAGCUGAAUUUUUUUGUGCAUGCCAACAAUUGUGAAAAGUGAAAAUUGUGAAACUCUUUCUAAAACAAUUUUAAAAAAUCUCGAACCGUAAAAAGUUUUAAAAAUUGUGAAAAGUAGAAAAUGGGUCGUCUUGCCAUGAAACUUCACAUGAAGGGGUAGGGGACAUUGUAUGAAUUUACAAGCCAUAAAAAUGGCAUUGGCACGGCAAAAAUAUGAAUAUGUGCUUGAACCCACCUACCACCCGUUCGAUCCCCGGCUUGCACAUCCUGCCUCUCUGGUCGGCUUAACGUCUGCACGCUCGUUUCCUGGGUUGACUUAGGCAUACGGAGUUCAUCUCUAGUCUAAGCAUACGAAGUUCAUUCCCAGUCUAAGAUUGGAUAGGAUCAAGGGUUACGACUAUAGGAUCGAAAGCACGCAGGAGGGUCCGCCCCGAUCCUCAGCUUGCGCAUUCUGCCUCUCAGACCGGCUGAGCACCUGCACGCUCGUUUCGUGGGUUGGCUUAGGCAUAGGGAGUUCAUUCCAUGUCUAAGCCCCAGCCGAACCGAGGGUUGUGGCAGUGGGACCGACAGCACGCAGAAGGGGAUCGGGUCGAUCCCCGGCUUGCCCAUUAUGCCUCUCCAGUCGGCUCAGCACCCGCAUGUUCGUUUUGUGGGUUGACUUAGGCAUACGGAGUUCAUUCCCAGUCUAAGAUCAGACCAGACCGAGGGUUGCGGUAGCAAGAUCGAUAGCACGUAGGGGGGAACCGAGCCGGUCCCUGGCUUGCGUAUUUUGCCUCUCCGGUCGACUGAGCCCCCGCAUGCUCGUUUCAUGGGUUGGCUUAGGCAUACGGAGUUCAUUCCAUGUCUAAGCAUAUGGAGUUCAUUCCCAUUCUAAGAUCGGAUCGGAUCGAGGGUUGCGGUAGCAUGACCAAUAGUAGGAUCGACAGCACGCAGGGGGGAUCGGGCCGAUCCCCGACUUGCGCAUUCUACAUCUUCGGCCGGCUGAGCUCUCGCAUGCUCGUUUCAUGGCUUGGCUUAGGCAUACGGAGUUCAUUCCAUGUCUAAGCCCCAGUCGGACCAAGGGUUGUGGCAGUAGGACCGGUAGCAGGAUCGACAGCAUGUAGAGGAGGAUCGAGCUUAUCCCAGGCUUGGGCAUUAUGUCUUUUCGGUCGACCUCUCCGACUGGCUGAGUGCCCGCACACUCGUGUCAUGGGUUGACUUAGGCCUACAGAGUUCAUCCCCAGUCUAAGCAUACGGAGUUCAUUCCCAGUCUAAGAUCGGACCAAACUAAGGGCUGCGACAGCAAGAUCGACAGCAUGCAGGGUGGACCAGGGCGAUCCCCGACUUGCGCAUUCUACCUCUGCGGUCGGUUGAAUGCCCGUAUGCCCGUUUCGUUGGUUGGCUUAGGCAUAGGGAGUUGAUUCCAUGUCUAAGCCCUAGUCGGACCGAGGGUUGUGGUAGCGAGAUCGAUAGCAAACAGAGGGGGACCGAGCUGAUCCCUGACUUACGUAUUAUGCCUAUUCGGUUGGCUCAGCACCUGAACGCUCGUUUCGUGGGUUGACUUAGGCAUACAGAGUUCAUUCCCAGUCUAAGAUCGGAUCAGACCGAGGGUUGCGAUAGCACACAGGGGGGAUUUGGCCAGUCCCUAGCUUGUGCAUUCUGCCUCUCCGAUGGGCUGAGCGCCCGCACGCUCGUUUCGUGGGUUGGCUUAGGCAUACGGAGUUUAUUCCAUGUCUAAGCAUAUGGAGUUCAUUCCCAGUCUAAGAUCGGAUCGGAUCGAGGGUUGCGGCAGCAGGAUCGACAUCAUGCAGGGGGGAUCGGGCCGAUCCACGGCUUGCACAUUCUGCCUCUCUGGCCGGUUGAGCGCUCGCACGCUCGUUUCAUGGGUAGGCUUAGGCAUACGAAGUUCAUUCAAUGUCUAAGCCCCAGUCGGACUGAGGGUUGUGGCAGCAGAAUCGACAGCAGGAUCAGCAGCACGCAAAGGGGGAUCGGGCUAAUCCCCGACUUGUGCAUUAUGUCUCUCUGACCAGCCUCUUCGAUUGACUGAGUGUACGCAUGCUCGUUUCAUAGGUUGACUUAGGCAUACAGAGUUCAUCCCCGGCUUACGUAUUCUACCUCUCCGACCGACUGAACGCUCGCAUGCUCGUUUCGUGGGUUGACUUAGGCAUACGAAAUUCAUCCUCAGUCUAAGCAUACGGAGUUCAUUCCCAGUCUAAGAUCAAAUCGGACCGAGGGUUGCGAUAGUAGGAUCAGUAGCACGCAGGGGAGACCGGGCCGAUCCCCGGCUUGCGCAUUCUACCUCUCCGGUCGGUUGAGCGCCCGCACGCCCGUUUCAUGGGUUGGCUUCGGCAUAGGGAGUUCAUUCCAUGUCUAAGCCCCAACCAGACCGAGGGUUGUUGCAGAGGGACCGGUAGCAUGCAGAUGGGGACCGGGCCGAUCCCCGGCUUGCACAUUCUGCCUUUCCAGCCGGGUGAGCGCCCGCACGCUCGUUUCGUGGGUUGGCUUAGGCAUACGGAGUUCAUUCCAUGUCUAAGCAUAUGGAGUUCACUCCCAGUCUAAGAGUUUGAGCCACGGUGCACAUGCUGCACUCGGGCAUGUGCUGGUACCACCUUUUUUUGCUUGGGGCACCAUCACCGGAGCACCGUCGAAGAGCCUAACCGGUGGCAUUAGGGGUUCCGAUGAUUGGGGGGCCGAAGGGGUGUGUGCACAUGAUGUGCGAUGGGUGCUGGUACUUGGCCCUCAUAUUGGCCCCCUAUCCCUCAUCAAACCUCGAGAACUCACACCCCCUUAAAGGGCAUUUGAGAUUUUAUAGAUUUGCUGCCAAUAGCCAUUAAAGUGUUUAAAAUGGGGACACUUUUUUCAAACGGUCACAAAAUCUUCUCCACUUCGAGUUUUUAGCUGAAUUUUUUUGUGCAUUCCAACAAAAAUACAAGGAUCACCUAUACCAAAUUUGGGGACAAAUUUCUUUCCAAAAAAAAUUUUAAAAAAUCUUGAACCGUAAAAAGUUUCAAAAAUCGUGAAAAGUAGAAAACGGGUCGUCUUGCCAUGAAACUUCACAUGAAGGUGUAGGGGACCAUUGUACGAAUUUACAGGCCACAAAAAUGGCUUUGGCAGGGCAGAAAUAUGAAGAUGUGCUUGAACCCACCUACCACCCGUUCGAUCCCUGGCUUAUGCAUCCUGCCUCUCUGGUCGGCUGAGCGUCUGCACGCUCGUUUCGUGGGUUGACUUAGGCAUACGGAGUUUAUCCCCAGUCUAAGCAUACAAAGUUCAUUCCCAGUCUAAGAUCAGACCAGACCGAGGGUUGCGACAGUAGGAUCGGUAGCACACAGGGGGGACCGGGCUGAUCCCCGACUUGCACAUUCUGCCUCUCGACCGGCUGAGCUCCCACACGCCGUUUGUGGGUUGGCUUAGGUAUAGGGAGUUCAUUCCAUGUCUAAGACCCAGUCGGACCGAGGGUUGUGACAGCACACAGAGGGGGAUCGGGCCAAUCCUCAGCUUACGCAUUAUGCCUCUCCGGUUGGCUCAGCACCCGUACACUCAUUUCGUAGGUUGACUUAGGUAUACGGAGUUCAUUCCCAGUCUAAGAUCGGACCGGACCGAGGGUUGCGGUAGCAGGAUCGAUAGCACACAGAGGGGGAUCGGGCCGGUCCCCGGCUUGCGCAUUCUGCCUCUCCGAUCGGCUAAGCCCGCCCGUUAGUUUCGUGGGUUGGCUUAGGCAUACGAGUUCAUUCCAUGUCUAACCAUACGAAGUUCUUUCCCAUUCUAAGAUCGGACUGGACCGAGGUUUGCGAUAGCAGGACCAACAGCAGGAUCGGUAGCACGUAGGGGGGACCAGGCUGAUCCUCGCUUGUGCAUUCUGCCUCUUCGACUAGUUGAGCACCCGCACACACGUUCGUUUCAUGGGUUGGUUUAGGCAUACGGAGUUCAUUCCAUGUCUAAGCAUACAGAGUUCAUUCCCAAUCUAAGAUCAGACCAGACCGAGGGUUGCGGCAGCAGGAUUGACAGCCCGCAAGGGGGACCGGGCUGAUCCCUCGGCUUACGCAUUUUGCCUCUUCGACUGGCCGAGCGCCUGCACUCUCGUUUCGUGGGUUGGCUUCGGCAUAUGAAGUUCAUUCCAUGUCUAAGCCCCUGUCGGACCGAGGGUUGUGGUAGCAAGACCGGCAGCGGGAUUCACAGCACGUAGAGAGAGACCGGGCCGAUCCCCGGCCUGCCCAUUAUGCCUUUCUGGUCGACUGAGCACCCGCAUGCUCGUUUCAUGGUUGACUUAGGCAUACAGAGUUCAUCCCCAGUCUAAGCAUACGGAGUUUAUUCCCAGUCUAAGAUCAGACCGAACCAAGGGUUACGGUAGUAGGAUCGAUAGCAUGCUGAGGGGACAGGGUCGAUCCCCGACUUGCGCAUUCUGGCUCUCUGGCUGGCUGAGGGCUCGGAUGCCCAUUUCGUGGGUUGGGUUAGGCAUAGGGAGUUCAUUCCAUGUCUAAGCCCUAGUCAGACUGAGGGUUAUGGCAGCGAGACCGGUAGAACAUAGAGAGGGAUCAGGCCGAUCCCCAGCUUGCGCAUUAUGCCUCUUCGGUCGGCUCAGUGCCCGCACGCUCGUUUCGUGGGUUGACUUAUGCAUAUCAAGUUCAGUCCCAGUCUAAGAUUAGAUCGGGCUGAGGGUUGUGGUAGCAGGAUCGACAGCACGCAGGGGGGAUCAAGCCGAUCCCCGACUUGCGCAUUCUGCCUCUCCAGUCAACUGAGCGCCCUCACGCUUGUUUCGUGGGUUGGCUUAGGCAUACGGAGUUCAUUCCAUGUCUAAGCAUACAGAGUUCAUUCCAUGUCUAAGCAUAUGGAUUGCUUUUCCAGUCAAAUAUUUUGAGCCAUGGUGCACAUGCGUGGGCUCGAGCAUGUUGUUGGUGCCGUAUUUUUCUUCGCUCGGGGCCCAUCACCGGAGCAUUGGUCGGAGGCAUUGGGGGUUCCGAUGAUUUGGGCGGGACCGGUGGGAGUGUGCGCAGCAUGAUGUGGCAAUGGGUGGCUGGUACUGGUGGCCCUUAUAUUGGCCCCCCUAUCCCUCAUCAAACCUUGAGAACUCACAACCCCCUUAAGAGCAUUUGAGAUUUUAUAGGUUUGCUGCCAGUAGCCAUUAAAGUGUCUGAAAUGGGGACACUUUUUUCAAACGGUCACAAAAUUCUUCUCCACUUCGAGUUUUUAGCUGAAUUUUUUUGUGCAUGCCAACAAAAAAUACAAGGAUGCACCUCUACCAAAUUUGGGAACAAAACUCUUUCUAAAAAAAUUUAAAAAAACCCUGAACCACAAAAAGUUUCAAAAAUCAUGAAAAAUAGAAAACGAGUCGUCUUGCCACGAAAUUUCACUUGAAGGCUUAGGGGACCGUUGUAUGAAUUUACAUGCCAUAAAAAUGGCAUUGGCAUGGCAGAAAUAUGACAAUGUGCUUGAACCCACCUACCACCCGUUCGAUCCCCGACUUGCGCAUCCUACCUCUCUAGUCGGCUGAGCGCCCGUACGCUCGUUUCGUGGGUUGACUUCAGCAUACAGAGUUCAUCCCCAGUCUAAGCAUACGAUUUUCAUUCCCGGUCUAAGAUUGGAUCGAACCGGAGGCUGCGACAGCAAUAUCGACAGCACGCAGGGGGAAGCGGGUCGAUCCCCAGCUUGCGCAUUCUGCCUCUCCGGCCGACUGAGCGCCCGCACGUCCAUUUCAUGGGUUGGCUUAGGGAUAGGGAGUUCAUUCCAUGUCUAAGCGCCAGCCAAACUGAGGGUUGUGGCAGUGGGACUGGCAGCACGCAGAGGGCGAUGGGGCCGAUCCUCGACUUGCGCAUUAUGCCUCUCCGAUCGGCUCAACGCCCACACGCUCGUUUCGUGGGUUGACUUAGGCAUAUGGAGUUCAUUUCAGUCUAAGAUCGGACCGAACCGAGGGUUGCGGGAGUAGGAUCGAUAGCAUACAGGGGGGACCCGGCUAGUCCCUAGCUUGCGCAUUCUACCUCUCCGAUCGUUUGAGUGCCCGUACGCUCGUUUCGUGGGUUGGGUUAGGCAUACGGAGUUUAUUCCAUGUCUAAGCAUACGGAGUUCAUUCCCAAUCUAAGAUCGGAUCGGACCGAGGGUUGCGACAGCAGGACCAGCAAUAGGAUUGCAGCACACAGAGGGGGAUCAGGUUGAUCCUCGGCUUACGUAUUCUACCUCUCCGACCGGCUGAACAUCCGCACGCUCGUUUCGUGGGUUGGCUUAGGCAUACGAAGUUCAUUCCAUGUCUAAGCCCCAGCCGGACCAAGGGUUAUAGCAGCAGGACCGAUAGCGGGAUCGGCAGCACGCAGAGGGGGAUCGGGCUGAUCCUCGGCUUGCACAUUAUGCCUCUCCGGCCAGCCUCUCCGGUCGACUGAGCACCCACACGCUCAUUUUGUGGGUUGGCUUAGGCAUACGGAGUUCAUCCCCAGUUUAAGCAUACGGAGUUCAUUCCAUGUCUAAGCAUACGGAGUUCAUUGCCAGUCUAAGAUCGGACUGGACCAAAGGUUGCAGUAGCAGGAUCGACAGCACAUAGGAGGUGACUGGGCCGAUCUCCAACUUGCACAUUCUGCCUCUCCGACCAGCUGAGCACCACACGCUUGUUUCAUGGGUUGGCUUAGGCAUACGGAGUUCAUUCCAUGUCUAAGCAUACAGAGUUCAUUCCCAGUCUAAGAUUUUGAGCCACAGUGCACAUGCUGGGCUCGAGCAUGUGCUGGUACCACAUUUUUUUUGCUCGGGGCACCAUUGUCGAAGCAUCACCGGAGCAUCGUCGGAGAGCCUAACCGGUGGCAUUGGGGGUACCGGCGAUUGGGGAGGCCGGGGGGGUGUGCGCACAUCAUGUGCGAUGGUUGCUGGUACUUGGCCCUUAUAUUGGCUCCCUAUCCCUCAUUAAACCUCAAGAACUCACACCCCUUUAAAGAGCAUUUGAGAUUUUAUAGGUUUGCUGCCAGUAGCCAUUAAAGUGUCUGAAAUGGGGACACUUUUUUCAAACGGUCACAAAAUCUUCUCCACUUCGAGUUUUUAGCUGAAUUUUUUUGUGCAUGCCAACAAAAAUACAAGGAAACCUCUACCAAAUUUGGGGACAAAACUCUUUCUAAAAAAAUUUUAAAAAAUCUCGAACCGUAAAAAGUUUCGAAAAUCAUGAAAAAUAGAAAAUGGGUCAUCUCGCCAUGAAACUUCACAUGAAGUCUGAGCGCCAGCAUGCCCGUUUUGUGGGUUGGCUUAGGAAUAGGGAGUCCAUUCCAUGUCUAAGCCCCAGCCAGACCAAGAGUUGUGGCAGCGGGACCGACAGCAUGCUGAGGGGACCGGGUCGAUCCCUGGCUUGCGCAUUAUGCCUCUUCGGUCGGCUCAGUGCCUGUACGCUCGUUUCAUGGGUUGACUUAUGCAUACGGAGUUCAUUCCUAGUCUAAGAUUGGACAAGACCGAGAGUUGCGAUAGUAGGAUCAAUAGCACGCAGGGGAGGAUCGGGCCAUCCCCGACUUGUGCAUUCUGCCUCUCCGGCCGGCUAAGUGCCCGCAUGCUCGUUUCAUGGGUUGGCUUAGGCAUACGGAGUUCAUUCCAUGUCUAAGCAUAUGGAGUUCAUUCCUAGUCUAAGAUUGGACUGGACCGAAGUUGCGGCAGCAGGAUCGGUAGCACGUAGGGGGGGAUCGGGCCGAUCCCCGGCUUGGGUAUUCUGCCUUUCCGACUGACUGAGUGCCUGCACGCUCGUUUUCUGGGUUAGCUUAGCCAUACGGAGUUCAUUCCAUCUCUAAGCGCUAGCCGGACCGAGGGACAUGGUAGCAGGAUCGGCGGCAUGCAGAGGGGGACCGAGCUGAUCCUCGGCUUACGUAUUAUGCCUCUUCGGUUGGCUGAGUGUCCGCACACUCUUUUCAUGGGUUGACUUAGGCACACGGAGUUCAUCCCCAGUCGAAGCAAAUAGAGUUCAUUCCCAGUCUAAGAUCGGAUCGGAUCGAGGGUUACGGUAGCAGGAUCGAUAGUACACAGAGGGGAUUGGGCCGAUCCCCGACAUGCGCAUUCUACCUCUCCAGCCAGCUGAGUGCCCAUACGCCCAUUUCGUGGGUUGGCUUAGGCAUAAGGAGUUCAUUCCAUGUCCAACCCCCAGCCGGACCAAGGGUUGUGGCAGUGGGAUUAGCAGACUGCAGAGGAGGAUUGGGCCGAACCCUGGCUUGCGCAUUAUGCCUCUUCGGUCGGCUCAGCACCCAUACACUCGUUUCGUGGCUUGACUUAUGCAUACAGAGUUCAUUCCCAGUCUAAGAUCAGACUGAACCAAGGGUUAUGAUAGCAGGAUCGACAGCAAGCAGGGGGGAUCGAGCCGAUUCCCGGCUUGCACAUUUUGCCUCUUCGACCGACUGAGCGCCCGCACGCUUGUUGCGUGGCUUGGCUUAGGCAUAUGAAGUUCAUUCCAUGUCUAAGCAUACAGAGUUCAUUCCCAGUCUAAGAUUUUGAGCCACGGUGCACAUGCUGGGCUAAGGCAUGUGCUGGUGCCGCAUUUUUUUUGCCCGGGGCACCAUCGUCGGAGCAUCGCCGGAGAGCCUAACCGACGGCAUUGGGGGUUCCGACGAUUGGGGGGGUUGGGGGGUGUGCGGACAUGAUGUGUGAUGGGUGCUGGUACUUGACCCUUAUAUUGGCCCCAUAUCCCUCAUCAAACCUUGAGAACUCACACCCCCUUAAAGAGCAUUUGAGAUUUUAUAGGUUUGCUGCCAGUAGCCAUUAAAGUGUCUGAAAUGGGGACACUUUUUUCAAACGGUCACAAAAUCUUCUCCAGUUUGAGUUUUUCGCUGAAUUUUUUUUUGCAUGCUAAAAAAAAUACAAGGAUCAUCUCUACCAAAUUUGGGGACAAAAAUCUUUCUAAAAAAUUUUUAAAAAAUCCCGAACCGCAAAAAGUUUCAAAAAUCAUGAAAAAUAAAAAACGGGUCAUCUUGCCACGAAACUUCACAUGAAGGCUUAGGGGACCAUUGUAUGAAUUUAAAAGCCAUACAAAUGGUAUUGGCAUGGUAGAAAUAUGAAGAUGUGCUUGGACACACCUACCAUCCGUUUGAUCCCCGACUUGUGCAUCUUGCCUCUCUGGUCGACUGAGGACUCGCAUGCUCGUUUCGUGGGUUGACCUAGGCAUACGGAGUUCAUCCCCAGUCUAAGCAUACAGAGUUCAUUCCUAGUCUAAGAUCAAACUGGGAUGAAGGUUGCGAUAGCAGGAUCGACAGCACGUAGGGGGGACUGGGCCAUCCCUGACUUGUACAUUCUGCCUCUCCAAUCGACAAAGCGCCCGCAUGCUCGUUUCGUGGGUUGGCUUAGGCAUACGGAGUUCAUUCCAUGUCUAAGCAUAUGGAGUUCAUUCCCAAUCUAAGAUUUUGAGCCUCGGUGUACAUGCUGGGCUCGGGCAUGUACUGGUGCCGUAUUUUUUUUGCUCGGGGCACCAUCGCCGGAGCAUCACUGGAGAGCCUAACCGACGGCAUUGGGGGUUCCGGAGAUUGGGGUGCCGGGGGGUGUGCACACAUGAUGUGCGAUGGGUGCUGGUACUUGGCCCUUAUAUUGGCCCCCUAUCCCUCAUCAAAUCUUGAGAACUCACACCCCCUUAAAGAGCAUUUGAGAUUUUAUAGCUUUGUUACCAGUAGCCAUUAAAGUGUUUGAAAUGGGGACUCUUUUUUCAAACGGUCACAAAAUCUUCUCCACUUUGACUUUUUAGCUGAAUUUUUUUAUGCAUGCCAACAGAAAUACAAGGAUCAUGAACCGAAAAAAGUUUUGAAAAUUGUGAAAAAUAGAAAACAGGUCAUCUUGCCACGAAACUUCACAUGAAGGCUUAGGGGACCAUUGUAUGAAUUUACAAGCCAUAAAAAUGGCAUUGGGACGGCAGAAAUAUGAAGAUGUGCUUGAACCCACCUACCACACGUUCGAUCUUAGGCUUGCGCAUCCUGUCUCUCUGGUCGACUGAGUGCCCGUACGCUCGUUUCAUGGGUUGACUUAGGCAUACGGAGUUCAUCCUCAGUCUAAGCAUAAGGAGUUCAUUCCCAGUCUAGGAUCGGAUCGGAUCGAUGGUUGCGGUAGCAGGAUCGGUAGCACGCAGGGGGGAUCGAGCCAAUUCCCGGCUUACGCAUUCUGCCUCUCCGAUCAGCUGAGUGCCUGUACGCCCGUUUCAUGGGUUGGCUUAGGCAUAUGGAGUUCAUUCCAUGUCUAAGCAUAUGGAGUUCAUUCCCAGUCUAAGAUUGGACCAGAUCGAGGGUUGCGAUAGUAGGACUAGUAGCAGGAUCGGUAGCAUGCAGGGGGGGAUCAGUCCGAUCCUCGGCUUGUGCAUUCUGCCUCUCCGACUGACUGAGCGCCUGCAAGCUCGUUUCGUGGGUUGGCUUAGCCAGACAGAGUUCAUUCCAUCUCUAAGCCCCAGCCGGACCGAGGGUUGUGGUAGCAGGACCGACAGCACGCAGAGAGGGAUCGGCCUGAUCCCCGGCUUACGUAUUAUGCCUCUCUGAUCGGCUGAAUGCCCGCACGCUCAUUUCGUGGGUUGACUUAGGCCCACAGAGUUCAUCCCCAGUCGAAGCAAACAGAGUUCAUUCCCAGUCUAAGAUCAAAUCAGAUCGAGGGUUAUGGUAGCAGGAUCGAUAGUACGUAGAAGGGAUCGGGCCGAUCCCCGACUUGCGCAUUUUGCCUCUCCAGCCAGCUGCGCCGCAUGCUCUUUCUUGUGGGUCCAUGCUAACCAACCCAACGCGGACCAAGGGUGUUGGCAGUGGGAUGCAGAAUGUAGAAGGGGAUUGGGUCGACCCCUUGCGCAUUAUGCUCUUCGGGCUCAGCGCCCACAACUCAUUUCGUGGCUUGACUUUUGCAUACGGAGUUCGUUCCCAGUCUAAGAUUGGACCAAACCAAGGGUUACAACAGCAGGAUCGACAGCAAGCAGGGGGGAUCAGGCUGAUCACCGGCUUGCGCAUUCUACCUCUUCGGCCGGCUGAGCCCCCGCACGCUUGUUUUGUGGGUUGGCUUAGGCAUACGGAGUUCAUUCCAUGUCUAAGCAUACGUAGUUCAUUCGAUUUUGAGCCACGGUGCACAUGCUUGGCUCCAGCAUGUGCUGGUGCCGCAUUUUUUUCACUCGGGACAGCAUCGCCGGAGCAUCGCCAGAGCAUCGCCGGAGUACCGUCGGAGAACCUGACCGGCGGCAUUGGGGUUCCGGCGAUUGGGAGGGGGGCCGGGGGGGUGUGCGCACAUGAUGUGCGAUGGGUGCUGGUACUUGGCCCUUGUAUUGGCCCCCUAUCCCUCAUCAAACCUCUGAGAACUCACACCCCCUUAAAGAGCAUUUGAGAUUUUACAGGUUUGCUGCCAGUAGCCGUUCAAGUGUCUGAAAUGGGGACACUUUUUUCAAACGGUCACGAAAUCUUCUCCGGUUCGAGUUUUUAGCUGAAUUUUUUUGUGCAUGCCAACAAAAAUAGAAGGAUCACGUCCACAAAAUUUGGGGCCAAAACUCCUUCUAAAAAAAUUCUAAAAAAUCCCGAACCGCAAAAAGUUUCGAAAAUCGUGAAAAAUAGAAAACGAGUCAUCUUCCAACGAAACUUCACGUGAAGGCUUAGGGGACCAUUGUAUGAAUUUACAAGCCAUAAAAAUGGCAUUGGCACGGCAGAAAUUUGAAGAUGUGCCUAAACCCACCUAGCACCCGAUCGAUCCCCGGCUUGCGCAUCCUGCCUCUCCGGCCGGCUGAGCGCCCGCACGCUCGUUCCGUGGGUUGACUUAGCCAUACGGAGUUCAUUCCAUGUCUAAGCCCCAGUCGGACCGAGGGUCGCGGCAGCUGGACCGGCAGCGGGAUUGGCAGCAGCACGCGGGGGGACCGGGCCGAUCCCCGGCUUGCGCAUUAUGCCCCUCCAGUCGACUGAGCGCCCGCACGCUCGUUUCGUGGGUUGACUUAGGCAUACGGAGUUCAUUCCCGAUCUAAGCAUACGGAGCUCAUUCUCGGUCUAAGAUCGGACCGACAGCGGGAUUGGCAGCAGCACGCGGGGGGGACCGGAUCGGUCUCCGGCUUGCGCAUUAUGCCCCUCCGGCCGGCUGAGCGCCCGCACGCUCGUUCCGUUGGUUGACUUAGGCACACGGAGUUCAUUCCAUGUCUAAG